rnacentral:lncRNA from 1 species
GUUCGAGAACAGCUUCAUCCUCUGGAAGACUCGAAUCCACAUUCUUUCGACAACACGUGAUCUCCAACAACAUAACUCCAAAGCUAAAACAUCUGCUUAACUGUCCCCGGCAUAUUCCGGUGCCAUUCUGGUGCUACAUAUCCCUUGUCCCUCUAAUUCCGGUGAAGGUUUUAGUUUGGUCUGACUUCAGCAAACUUUGCCAAUCCAAAGUCAGAAACUUUGGGGCACCUGCUUUCAUCUAUUAGUAAUUCUGAGGUUUUAUUCACAGUGGAUGAUCUGAGUGUCGCACUCUUCAUGUAGAUAAACAAUACCCCUUGCAAUGUUGCGAGCAAUUUCCAACCUUUCAGGGAAAGCAAGGUCGUUUUUCAGUGAGAAGAGUAUGUCAGCGAGGGACCAUUGCUCAUGUACUCGUAUACCAGGAGCCUGUGCAUGGCAAUAGCCCGAGCAGACGGGCUAGGUUUCUGUGACGUGUUUUCCCAAUGACUUUCAUCUCAUUCUGAAAUUCUCUUUCCCUUCAGCUAGAGCUUUCUCCAGUCUCUAGACAGCAACGAGUACUUGAUAUAUCCCUUUAAACUGUCCCAAAUGAUCCCCUGCCAAUUUCUUCCUUGAAACCACCAGUAAUAUUUUCUAGCUUUGCAUAAGUGAAAGCUCGAGGAGCAAAUACCUCAUUCAAUGCAGUACCAUCAUUAUUUGGCACCCUUUUAUGCCAAUACAUGAUAUCUGUAAACGAUGAUUCCGAAAAUCGACACCAUAGCAAGCCCAAAAGCAACAAAUGAACCAUUUAUGAUGCGAACCUCGUGAUCACGUGGUCACGCAACCCACACGCAAAGACACCAAUUCCCGGAAAACCAAGUAAAUCAGGUUUGAUAGGAGUGUGACACAAAGAUAACUUGUACCUAGGCACCAGCACUAUUGGAAACGAAAAACCCCCACCCAACGAAUAUAGAUUCGCGAAUGAGAAGUAUAAGGAUGAUGCCACGAAGCCAGUUGUUCUUCGAUAAGUCGUUUUCAGUUCUUUAGAGAACCAAGGAAGGGAGAUUAUCCCACCAACACACAAGUACUGCAAAGAAGUUUAUUGAUAUAAAAGCCUCUAUUUAUACUGACUCUAGACUUAAAGAAACCCUAAUGGACCCCCCUUAGGUGGACUUAUAUGAAGCCCACUUACAAUUGACCCAAAUAAGUAAUAAUAACCCAAAAACUAAGAAGAAAAUAAUAAAAAUAAUAAAAAUCCGAAAAUUACCAUCCUAAAUAUGCUAGAAUCAAAUUUGUAUUGAUGUCCUUGAUUAGCUUGGAUAAAUUUCCUCCUUUGUUGCUGAUUUAAUUACUUUUCUUCCUAUGUUAGGAAAAGCAUUAAAUAGUCCUCCCCUCUUUAGGAAUAAGAUAUGGCCAACUUCCUUACUUAAUUAGGAGAAUAAAUUGCUGGCUUUUUAUCCUUGUAGCAUUAGGAAAUAAAACAAGCCUAACAAGGCUGGUAUUGGGCCGGACAUAUCAACCCCUUGUUCCACAUGAAUUGGGCUCUUCUUGGACAUGAACUAGAUGAAUUAAAGGCUGUCCUUCAUGCUCCUUAAAUGUCCCAAGCCCUUCUAGGUCCAUCUUGCUCCAUAAGUUCUGAACAAGCCCAUUCAAUGCUUCUUUAAGCUUCUUUGCCCUAGCUCUUGUGAUUGGCCCAAUUGGCACCUCCAAUGGAUCGUUGGCAUGAUUACGCUUGGUGUUGGGCUGAUCCGCAUCAACGUAUUAUUAGGAUUGUCCUGCCAGUGCCAAGGUUCUUCUUCUCGGUUAUAGGCUCUUUUCUGUCCAUGGUGGACAUGGGUCUGCCCACCUUGACGACAGCCAAGUUCGUACUUCCUAAGUUUCUCCUCCCAAAUCUCAAAGGAAGCCUUUGCUUUCUGCAGUACUGCCCAUCAGUGAAUAAUGCUGCUUCACAGUUACAGUCUUCCAAACAGGCUUGCUUACAAUUGUCUUUCAUUGUUAAAGACAAAACGGAGUACGAAACAUCUUCCCAGAUAGUAUUAGACAGCUCUUCCAUGGUGUAUGUGCUACUUCCAUUCUUGUCGUUGCAACUUUCAGCAUUGAAAUCCCUCUGACAGCCAGAAGUCCAAUUUCCCUGGGUAACAAACUUAAAUCCAGGAAGACAAGUACAUUCAGCUUCCUUAUCCUUCAGAACACAAUAUCCAUUAAGACCACAUGAUCCUUUCGGGUCGCACUUGUUGCUUGUGGAUCAUGACCACAUAUCUGACCAGUUUCCAUUCCGUGUCAGAUUUCGUGAAUAUAAUCUGAAAAUCCCAUCAGCAUCAAGUUUCAUCAUAUUAAUUGUUUCUUUCGUGGGAUAUCCUCCAGCUGUAAUGUUUUUUAUGUUGAAACCUGUGGAAUUGAGCAGGUAGAGACGGCCAUCCGGAUCAAGAUUUAGGGUCACAUUAUCUCCCUUCCCAUCAGUAAAAGAUGAAAAAUAAGAAUAUGGAGCUGUAUCUGGAGUAUUAACAGGAUACUGCACAAGGUUGCCAUCAUUUUGCAUCUUGAGUCGGUAAAUACCAGUUGAGAGUUCAGUUUCUGAAACAGGAGAAACCAGCUCUGCCCCUGCUCUGAGCUGUUGAGUUGGCAAAAGGGUAUCUGUUGGGUGGUCAAAACUCUGCCAUAUAAUCUCGCGAUCAGAAUUAUAUAGCACAAAGUUGCCUGAAUCAGACAUAGAAGCUAAAGAAGCUGGCUGGGAAGCAGAAACUAUCGGAGUCUCAUCCCCUUGUGCUGAUCUCAAGACAACCCUGCCAUCACUGGUGAAGAGCAAGGUCGCAUUACUGGGGACUGGGGCAUCAUCCCUUCUAGCAGCCCACACAACAGUCUCUAGUGAAAUCCCGGAUAGAAAAACCCCUAUAGAAUAGCCGUCGCGUUGUCGGAAAAAUCCGAAAGCAUAAAGACCGGAAGGUGACAACCAUGAGGAGUUUGUGAUAGGUGUUAGAGAAGAUCCGAGGGUUAUAUUGGUCUGUCUUUGAGCUGAAGCUGUAAAAGAUAAGGCGAGAAGAAGAAAAAAGAUGAUAGAAGCCAUGGAUAGGGAUUUAGCUCUUGUGUGGUAUGUGAGUGUCAAAAUAAGGAUGUCUAUUGUUCCAGCACUCCAUUAUCUUUCUGUGGUUUCCAGCAGUCAAGCCAGGCACUCAAAACAUAAAAGUCUAGCCAUAGAAUCCACCGCGUUUCCCUACCAAUUGGUGGAAAUUGUUGCUCUUAGUUUUAUGCUUUCAAAGUCACCGAAAAAACUUGGCAGUUACUUGGUGCUGGUCCACUUUUUUCAUCUUGGUAUCCCCCAUUUGAAAAGUCAUUUGCUAAUUUCCCCGGGACUAUUCUUGGUUCUAAUUUUCUGCAGCAGAUUCUUUUUUAUUUGUCAAGUACCAUUCAAUACGCUUAGAAGACACAAUCUUUAGCUUCCUGCAGACAGCUUCAACUAGUUAAGAAAUAUCGAUUUGGUGCCAAUGCUAAUACCCUGGCAUUAUACUAGGGCAAGACAGAACAACUUGCUAGCUUAUAGUCAUGUCCCUCAAAAGCUAAAGCCUAGCUAGCAACCUCAGUUUCUAACGAGAGAGCAUCUCUACAUGUUGCGUAACUAACAAUCCCUUGAAUAUUAAAACUGAAAAGUGGAACUCAUUGGACCGUUGAUUUUAUGACCAGUUCCACCGUACGACUUAAUUCAGAGUACAAUUGAGGUGGUCACGGCAAGGACCGGGUCAAGGGACAACCUAGCAUUUGCUGACCUGCUCUUCUCAGCUAAAGCUUCUUUUUUUUUUUUUUGAAAGAUGCGCAUAUUAUUUAAACGUCAAAGUCUGACGGGAAUAGAACAGAAGCUAUACAAUAUCUUACUAUGACAAAAAGCCAUAUAUAGGAUAAAGCGCAGCAUAAGAUAAACAAAAGCAAAGAAAACCACAAAAAAUCCAUCCGAAUGAGCUGAAGCUAAACAUUCCUCUACAAAACAAAACAAAAAUUACUCAAAGACAUAAUGGGAGAAGAAACAAUAGCAAGGCCAUAGAAAAAUGGUGAAUUCAAAGCCAGGCAACAAAUUCACUUGAUCUUCGCACUCCUUGUUUAGCCAAGUCAUCUGCCAUGCAAUUGCUUUCACGAAAGAUAUGUGAGAAGGUGAUUGAACCAAAAUAUGCUUUUAAUCUAUUAAAAAAGGAGAACAAAUUAUGAUGCUUCCAGGGACGACUGAGAGGAUUAUUCAUCCACAGAAUAACAUUGACCGAGUCAGAUUCGAUGAUGAGGUGUUGAUGGUGUAAGAGGCAAUUAGAUGCUGAUAGUUCAAUGGCUUUGACAAUAGCCCUUAACUUAGCAAUAUUAGAGUCUAAAAUACCAACUGGAACAGAGAACAUACCGAGCAGAUGACCAUGAUGAUUUCGCAACACACCACCUAUUCUAGAGGGGCCUGGCUUACCAAGAGAAGAGCCGUCCACAUUCCAUUUGAGGCUAUUAAUCAUAGGAGGAGACCAUAUAUUAUUAAUCCUGAAAGAGUGAGCAUUGGACCACCGAAGCAAGCCAUCUGCCGAUCUGAUUAGAUCUGUAGGGGAGUAUGGAAAAUCUGAAUGGAUAGCUUUUAGCCAUAGACAUAAACGGGUGAUAAUAAGAAAGAAUAUUGAGUCAUAGUCUGGUGUCUUCUGUUGGAAAAUCAGAUCAUUUCGAAGGAGCCAAAGAGACCAUGCCAUUGAGAAGAACAACAUCAACCAUGCCUUCCUCUGAAAAUUACCAUGCACCAUGGAAGACCAUUGAGACCACAUAUCUGAGAAGCUCUUUGGGCAACACCAAACUAAACCCCACCAUUUAAUGAUUUUGGACCAAAUGAGCCAAUGUUUAUGGCAGUGCAACAGAAUAUGGUCCACCGAUUCUGCUUCAACAAGGCAGAUAGGGCAAAGGGCAAUUUGAUUCCGAGCUACCCAAGAUACCUCUUCGAACCAACAUACAUCGGGUGUUGAGUCUGUUAAUGAUAGUCAUCUAGCAAAAGAUCUCUACCUUAAGAGGGACAAUACCUUUCCAAAUUCCAGCAAAUGAGAAGGCAUUGUUUGUGGAAGGCUUUGGACUCAACAAUACGCAGAGAGAUUUCAUUGAAAAUCUUCCUGAAUUAUUGUCCUUCCAAAUUAGUCUAUCCUCUCCAUCUUUGUCCAUGAGUACUAACGAAAGGAUUGCAUAGAGUUGAUCAAGCAAACCGAUGUUGCGCCCCCGUAGUGGACGUAUCCAUGAAAAAAACCAAAUCCAUUCAUACCCUUCCCACAUUCCCAUCUUAGCAAUGGUGCAGCUUUGUCAUUGGAUAAUUGUAAAAGAGUAGGGAAGUGAUCUUCUAAACAAUGGUUAUUAAGCCAGCAAUCAAGCCGAAACAUAGUUUUCUUGCCAUUUCCAAUAAGAACCAAAGAUUGCUCAUUCACAAUAUCCUGCAACUUAUUAUUUCUCACAUAAUGAUUGACAAUCCAGGACCAUGUAGUUGCAGUUCCUGGAAUAGGAGCUUGCAGCAGGAGAUUAGAGCAAUUGGUGUUGUGGAUGGUUUUGAUCACAUCCUUCCACAUACUUGAUUCCUCCAACCCAAACCUCCAUAACCAUUUAAAGAGCAGAACUUUAUUUUUGUCCCUUAAAGAACCAAUCCCAAGACCACCCGCAUGUUUUGGAAGAGUAACAGUUGCCCAGCUAACAUUGCAUAUUUUGUGCCUAGCUUCUUCUCUCACCAUCUUCAUGCCAUGGUUGCUGAUUGGAGGGGCUUUAUAAUUUAUUUAUUACAAUUGUGCUAUGAAAAAGAAAAAAAAAUGCUAUGAUAUUAAAAAAAAAAAGAAUUUCCUCGUAGCUAUGAUAUUUGUGAUAUUAAUUAUGUUACACUUGUGAUCAUGUUGAUGAGAAUAAUAAUAAAUUCAUAUAGUUUUAGUAAUGUUUAUGUUAGCAAGCAAUGCUACUGAAGGUGAAGAAGCUGUGACGAAGAUGAUGGUGAUGUAAUGGUAAUGACGAUUAAAGUGAUUGAAAAAUAUUUUUCUUUUGAUAAUUUAUUAGUAUAUAUAUAUUUCAAAUGUUUAAGAUAUUUUUCAAAUAAAUGUACCUUAACUAUGAUAAAUGAUAUAUUCUCCGUUUGUUUGCAAUUUGAUUGUAAAGGCUUCCUUUUAACAUAAUUCUGCUUGAUAUGCUCCAUGUAAUUACAAACUAAUUAGCUCAUUCUGGUCUUCUCACUUCUGGCAAUUAGUCAGUUUGAUGGCGGCUUGCAACAAUGUACUGUCACCAACCGUUGUAUUGGACUUCGAUUCACCGAUAAUGCCCUGCAACUGAGCUUGAGCGAAGGAAUGGACAUUUGCAUUUAGGCAAGGAAUUGCCUUGUAGAAUAGAAGAAGAAGAAGAAGAAGGGGGAAAAACAAGCAGAGAUCAUAAUCUCAUUAAUUCUAUUCUUCGUAAAGAGCUCACUCUUGAGAUAACAUAAGACCACCAAACGUUGUUUAUACUAAGAACACGUGAAGCUUUCAUGCUAACGUUUUCUUUUCUCCUCUUUAUAUACCUUUUUUCUUUUUCUUUUUUUUAAUAUCUAAGAUACGGUGGGAAACAACUUUAUUAACAUUAGAAGAAAAAUCACCAGGAAGCUCCUAAAUGCUGCGUAAACAUAUAGCAAUUUUAUAAAGAAAAGGAAUACAUGACCUGAAAAAUAAAGUACAACACUCUGCACAUGAAUCUCUUAUUCCGAACCACAAAACGCAGCUCAUAUAGCGGUAAAAAAAAGUAGGACUUGGAGGGAUUGGGAUUUCGACUGUCCCCUCCAAAAUCAUCAGGAAGCUCCUAAAUGCUGCGUAAACAUAUAGCAAUUUUAUAAAGAAAAGGAAUACAUGACAUGAAAAUAAAAUACAAUACUUUGCAGGUGAAUCCCUUAUUAUGAACCACAAAACGCGGCUCAUACAGCGGUAAAAAAAGAAGUAGGACUUGGAGGGAUUGGGAUUUCGACGGUCCCAUCCAACAUGAGGAGGACCUUUUUCAUUGAAGGGCGGAGGGAUGGCUCAUCAAGAGUGCACCAAAGUCCCACUUUAACCAUCCUAUCUAACUGUUUCUUUCCAACGACUUCUUCACCCACAAGUUUGUCCAUAUCACCGUCCUGAAAACAUUGAUAAACCCACUGUUCGAGAACAGCUUCAUCCUCUGGAAGACUCCAAUCCACAUUCUUUCGACAACACGUGAUCUCCAACAACAUAACUCCAAAGCUAUAAACAUCUGCUUUAACUGUCACCGGCAUAUUCCGGUGCCAUUCUGGUGCUACAUAUCCCCUCGUCCCUCUCAUUCCGGUGAAGGUUUUUGUUUGGUCUGACUUCAGAAUUUUUGCCAAUCCAAAGUCAGAAACUUUGGGGCACCUGCUUUCAUCUAUUAGUAUAUUCUGAGGUUUUAUAUCACAGUGGAUGAUCUGAGUGUCGCACUCCUCAUGUAGAUAAACAAUACCCCUUGCAAUGUUGCGAGCAAUUUCCAACCUUUCAGGGAAGCAAGGUCGUUUUUCAAGUGAGAAGAGUAUGUCAGCAAGGGAGCCAUUGCUCAUGUACUCGUAUACCAGGAGCCUGUGAUGUUCAUCAUGGCAAUAGCCGAGCAGACGGGCUAGGUUUCUUUGAUUUUUUUUGGAGAGAUAAAGGAGGACAAGAGAAAGUAUUGAAUGUGAGUGUUAUCAGUCAUUUCUUAUAUAUUAUAUAUAUGAGGGUGUAUAAAGGAAAUCCCCUCAGAUUCAGCCAAUAUUCAAAUUUCCCAGAUUCAGCCAAUAUUCACUUGCCUCUUGCCCAUGAUCCUGCAACCAUCAUUCAAGCAUAAUAUCAAGCUUGUAACGGCAGACAAAUCUUCAACGUAAAUGCAGUAUAAAUGUCAAGACGUAAUCUUAGCUUACUUUCUAAAUUCAAACCUGCAAAGCUGUGUAUAUAUAUGUUAACAAUUGUAUUACUCAAGGUGUGGCGAAAUAUACAAUUCUGAAGUUUAUCAAAUAGCUCAACUCUCUGAAAUUUCUUAUCUUCAUCAUGGUAUCAGAGCAACAAAUCUCCAACGAGAAUUUGAUCCCUCACAAUCCUAUCUCAACCCCAUCCUCUCCAACUGAAACACCUCUGAUUGCCCUCAACAUCACAUCCCAGAUAAAUGAUAAACUUACCCCCUCUACAUUCCUUCAAUGGCGCGCUCAGUUUGAAGCCUUACUCAUCGGGUAUGAUCUCCUUGAUUAUGUCACUGGAGAAAAAAUCUGCCCUGUAUCCACCAGCACAGCAGUCUGCGCCAUCCAACGAACACACUGGAUAAGGCAAGAUAAGCUUAUCCUCAGUGCCAUUUUGGCAUCCACAUCCACUGUUAUUACUCCUCUCAUCUCCAUGGCCAAGACAUCAAAGGAUGCAUGGCAUAAAUUGCAUACUCUGUAUGCAAGCAAGUCCAGAACCAGAGCAAUGCAACUUAAGGAAGAACUCACAAUGAUAAAGAAGGGCAACCAGUCAAUUCAAACUUAUCUUCAUUCUGUAAAAUCGUUGGCAGACGAAAUCUCCCUCAUAGAUCACCCAAUCUCUGAAGAUGAUCUAACACUCUAUAUUCUAAAUGGCCUGGGAACUGACUUUCGUGAAAUUGCAGGCCCUAUUCGCGCCCGAGAACGACCACUCACUUUUGAGGAACUUCAUGAUCUCCUUGUAAGUCAUGAUGCAUAUCUUCGCCGUCUUGAUGCCUCCUCCCAUCUGAUUGCUUCUGCAAACUACACGCACCGACGGGCUUCGUAUAAUCAAGAAAAUCAGUCUUUUAAAUCUGCCCCAAACCCCACUUUUUUGACAGAUCAUAUGGGCUUCACUAUCGCCAGCCUGGCAAUCCGAGAGACACAACAAAAAUCAUGGACCACGUCGUUUUCCUCCAGCUCCAAAGUGCCAACUAUGUGACCGCAUGGGUCAUACUGCCAAACACUGCAGUCGGUUUCAGUAUACCACCCCAACAGCGAAUUGCACUUCCACCUCACCCGCACAGGAUACAAAAUGGCUUAUAGACUCAGCCGCGUCUCAUAAUAUUACUGGUGAUCUUGCUAAUCUAUCUAUUCAUUCCGAAUACGAUGGCACAGACGAAGUUAUCAUUGGUGAUGGUUCAGGUUUGCCUGUUUCUCACAUUGGCUCCUUACAUCUUCAUUCCCCCACACGUACCUUCCAUUUAAAUGACACCCUUUGUGUUCCUAAUCUACAAAAAAAAUCUCAUAUCUGCUCAUCAAUUUACUCGUCAAAAUCAUGUCUUUAUUGAGCUUCACCCCUCUUUCUUUUUUGUUAAGGACAAGAUCACGGGAGCGGCUCUAUUCCGAGGAGCGUGUGAGAAUGGUGUUUACAUCCUUCCGAAGUCAAUGGUGCAGCCUUCUCAUCCUAUUGUUGCUAAUGUGCAUGAAAGGGUCUCCAUGGACGGAUGGCACAAACGCCUUGGGCAUCCCUCUCCUAAAUUGGUCACUCACCUUAUCAAAUCAUUUUCCCUUCCAACAAUAAAUAAAAAAAAUAUUUCUCUUUGUUCCUCAUGUUCUAUUAAUAAAGCUCAUCGUCAACCAUUUCGUCAAAACAGUCUCUUGAGUCAUGCCCCUCUUGACUUACUUUAUACUGAUGUGUGGGGUCCCUCAAGUACAAUUGGCAUUACUGGGGCUCGUUACUAUCUCAUUUUUGUUGAUCAUUUCACAAAAUACAUUUGGUUUUAUCCUAUGGAGACUAAAUCCAGUGUCCGCAUCAUAUUUCCUCAAUUCAAAAAUCUUGUUGAAAAUCGGUUUCAGUUAAAAAUUAAAUCUGUCUAUUCUGAUAAUGGUGGUGAAUUUGUUGCCUUAAAACAAUAUUUUACAACAAAUGGAAUCAGUCAUUACACCACAGCUCCUCAUACACCGCAACAAAAUGGUGUUUCUGAGCGUCGUCAUCGUCACUUGGUUGAAACCGGUCUCACAUUACUACAUGAUGCAUCCCUUCCCCUUCAGUAUUGGCCCUAUGCUUUUUCCACUGCUGCAUAUCUUAUUAACCGUCAACCCACACCUCUCCUCCACCAUAAAUCUCCGUUUGAAACUUUGUUUACACAGCCUCCAAAUUAUAAAAAGCUAAAAAAAUUCGGUUGUCUUUGUUUUCCUCUUGUUCGGCCAUAUAACACAAACAAGUUACAACCAAAAUCAAUUCCAUGUAUUUUCGUAGGCUACUCCUUAACCCAAAAUGCAUACAGCUGCCUUGAUCCCAUAACCAACCGUCUCUACCAAUCACGCCAUGUCAUCUUUCAUGAAAAUGAAAAUGGUUUCUCCUCCAACCAUCCUUCCACACCCAGCCCGACAAGCGACUCCUCUGUUCAUGGUCCUCUUUCAUCUCCUCCUGCACCUCCACCAGUGACUUCGGCAAGGAUACCCACUCUCACUGCUUCCUCAGGUAAUGACUCCCCCACUGUAUCUUUUAAUUCACGUGCACUCAUACCUUUAUCUUCUUCUGCUUCUCCUAGUUUUCAGCUUGCCUCAUCUCCACUGCCAAAUCCCAGUCAUCCACCCUCAUCAGUUAUUUGUGCACCUUCUCCAAGCUCACCUCCCUCAUCACCCAAUCCUGCACCCACCCGGCCUCACUCCAUGGUCACCCGUUCCAUGAAUAACAUUUAUAAACCCAAACAACUUAACAUCACCACAAAACACCCCAUCCCAAAAACUGUAGAACCAACCUGUGUGGGACAGGCUCUUCGUGAGCCACACUGGAGAUCAGCAAUGUCUGAGGAACUCACAGCCCUCAUGAGGCAUGGCACAUGGGAGUUGGUACCGCCUCCUCCGGACUGCCAACCAGUUGGGUGCAAAUGGGUUUUUCGGAUCAAACGACAUCCUAAUGGCUCCAUUGCUCGGUUCAAAGCCCGUUUGGUUGCAAAGGGAUAUCAUCAGCGGCCUGGUCUAGACUACAAUGAAACGUUCAGUCCAGUUGUGAAACCUGCCACCAUCAGAACAGUUCUCACCGUGGCUGUCACACAGGGGUGGCCAUUACGGCAGCUAGAUGUAAACAAUGCCUUUUUGCAUGGGAACCUGCAGGAAACAGUCUACAUGUUACAGCCACCGGGGUUCCAUGAUACCUCCACUCCCCAUCAUGUCUGUCGGUUAAACAAGGCUAUUUAUGGCCUCAAACAGGCCCCUCGUGCCUGGUAUUCUGCUCUGCAACAAGCCAUUCUGAAACUGGGAUUCACCAGCUCCAAAGCCGAUCCUUCUCUAUUUAUCUUUCACAGUGCAGAUGUUUUGUGUUACUUGCUGGUCUACGUGGAUGAUCUCGUUCUCACUGGAAACACUCCAUCCUUCCUGACUCAUGUGAUUGAUCAACUUAGCAUCCAAUUCUCAUUGAAAGAUAUGGGUGCACUUCAUCAUUUUCUGGGGCUAGAUGUUAUACCCACCAAAAACGGGUUGUUCUUAUCUCAACAUCAAUACAUACGGAUCUUCUCUUCAAAACUAAUAUGCAGGGUGCUAAGGAUGUCUCUUCUCCUAUGUCCACUUCGGUCCAGCUCAAGCUUAUUGAUGGCACAGCUCCCUGUGACAGCACUGCAUUUCGAAGCAUCAUCGGUGGAUUACAAUAUUUGUCUCUUACUCGUCCUGAUGUUUCCUUCACUGUUAAUAAGCUGUCACAAUUCAUGCAUCAACCUACGGUCACUCACUGGUCAGCUGCCAAACGCCUGCUCCGCUAUUUGAAGAAAACCAUCUUCCUUGGCAUUCACAUAAAUCGUCAGUCUUCAUUUGAUAUCACCACUUUUGCUGAUGCUGAUUGGGCUGGGAAUUAUGAUGAUCGCACCUCCACCUCAGCUUACAUUACAUUCCUUGGGCUCAAUCCCAUCUCGUGGAGCUCAAAGAAACAACGUGCAGUCGCCAGGUCCUCCACAGAAGCUGAGUAUCGUUCCCUUGCCACUGCUACGUCUGAAACAGUUUGGCUGUUGUCCCUGUUCAAAGAACUGUGUCUCCCAAUUUCAUCUCCGCCAAGGCUGUUGUGUGACAACCUGGGAGCUACACACCUUAGCUUCAAUCCAGUUCAGCAUUCCCGGAUGAAACACAUUCAGAUAGACCUCCACUUUGUCCGUGAUAUGGUUCACAAGAAGAUCCUCAAUGUUCAGCAUGUCAAUACUCAUGACCAAUUGGCAGACUUUCUAACGAAGCCUCUGUCUUCCCAGCGUCUGCAUUCCUUACUGCUCAAGAUUGGCUUAGCUGAUGGCUCAUCCAUCUUGCGGGAGCGUAUAAAGGAAAUCCCCUCAGAUUCAGCCAAUAUUCAAAUUUCCCAGAUUCAGCCAAUAUUCACUUGCCUCUUGCCCAUGAUCCUGCAACCAUCAUUCAAGCAUAAUAUCAAGCUUGUAACGGCAGACAAAUCUUCAACGUAAAUGCAGUAUAAAUGUCAAGACGUAAUCUUAGCUUACUUUCUAAAUUCAAACCUGCAAAGCUGUGUAUAUAUAUGUUAACAAUUGUAUUACUCAAGGUGUGGCGAAAUAUACAAUUCUGAAGUUUAUCAAAUAGCUCAACUCUCUGAAAUUUCUUAUCUUCAUCAGGGUGAUCAUUUUAAAGAUUUUUUAGUAUAAUUUCUCAAAGUAUAAUGGGGAAAUGAAAACACGAUCAAAGCACAAGAAUAUUUUUUUUUUUUGUAAUUAUCCAUGAACUCAUGAAUAGUUGUAAAGUUUUUGAAGUGAGAUAAUGUUUGGUGAUUUAACUAGUUAGUUGGCCUGCAUUUUAUCGCGUGAUGAAGAAAUUUCUUGCUUUGCAAUGAAAAAUAAAAAGAAUUAUCUUGCAAUAUCGAUAAUAAACACAACAAAUUAAAACAAAAUAAAACUAAGUUUGUUUACAUGUUGGUCGUUAAUUUAAGAUUAAAAUUUAUGGUUAAUUAAAAUUUUUUUUUACUAUAUUUCAUAUGUCACAAAUAUUUGUGUUAUAAAUAUUGUUAUUUUUAUUAUAAUUAAAAAUACUAAUAUAAAAAUAUUGUUGUUUGUGCUAUAAAUAUGAUUAUUUUUAUUAUAAUUAAUUUGAUUAAUAAAAUAAUUAAUAAAUUUGAAAAACAAAUUAUUAUCAAUAUUGAAAAACAACCAUAGAUUUGAUUUGAAAUGUAAAAUUGAAAAUUGUUAUUGUUAUCAUUAAUAAAUUUGAAAAAAAAAUACUAUUAUUACUAUUGAAGAAAAUCCAUAAUUUUUCAAAAAAAUUAAAAAAUAUAAGAAUUUAGACGGACAAGUUAAAUAUUAUUAUUUAUAUUAUAAAUAUUAUCGUUGGGUUUGACAUUACAGUUAGACUCGACUCCUUCAAUUCUUGUGUUGCAACCAGACCAAAGCUUUUGAGUCAUAUAUUUUUUUUAUAUUUUUUAUGAAAAUAAAACGUUGGCCGCAACCUAACUAAUAAUUACUAAAUGAGGACUCCAAAUAAAUUAAUUCAUUUGAUUGCUAUGUGAGAUUUUUUAUAAAAUACUUCAAGGAAAACAAACAUAUUAAAAUCAUAAAAACAUUUUACUAUAAAAUAUUAUACAGAAUAAACGUAACUUACUCUAAAUUUCCUCAAACAAUCUUGCAUUGCAAGAUUAAAUGGGCAGUAACAACGCCAGGAAUGCUUUCUUGUGGAUUUAAACACAUUUUUCUAUUCCUCUUAAUUAUGGGAGGGGGGAGCUAUCUUCUGCUGUGUAGGAAGAUCUGAUGAAACAAAGGAACAAUUGUUUUCAUUUUACCAAAAACAUAUUUAGUGGAGUCGUACUAUUGAUUAAAAAUCAUCUACCAGAAGUGGAGUAUCCUCAAUACAAGUUGUUGCAACUCUGAAGAACAUAUUGCUAGUAUUUGUUGAGACUUGAGAAUAGCAUUACCCAUCUAGAAACCUGGCCAAAAUAUAGGUUUCAGUUUUCCAGCCAUAAUCCCGACAAAUGAGAUAAGGUGGGAAACAACUUUACAGGCAUUAACAUUAGAAUAAAAAUCAUCAGGAAGCUCCUAAAUGCUGCGUAAACAUAUAGCAAUUUUAUAAAGAAAAGGAAUACAUGACAUGAAAAUAAAAUACAAAUACUUUGCAGGUGAAUUCCUUAUUAUGAACCACAAAACGCAGCUCAUACAGCGGUAAAAAAAGAAGUAGGACUUGGAGGGAUUGGGAUUUCGACGGUCCCAUCCAACAUGAGGAGGACCAUUUUCAUUGAAGGGCGGAGGGAUGGCUCAUCAAGAGUGCACCAAAGUCCCACUUUAACCAUCCUAUCUAACUGUUUCUUUUCGACGACUUCUUCACCCACAAGUUUGUCCAUAUCACCGUCCUGAAAACAUUGAUAAACCCACUGUUCGAGAACAGCUUCAUCCUCUGGAAGACUCCAAUCCACAUUCUUUCGACAACACGUGAUCUCCAACAACAUAACUCCAAAGCUAUAAACAUCUGCUUUAACUGUCACCGGCAUAUUCCGGUGCCAUUCUGGUGCUACAUAUCCCCUUGUCCCUCUGAUUCCCGUGAAGGUUUUAGUUUGGUCUGACUUCAGAAACUUUGCCAAUCCAAAGUCAGAAACUUUGGGGCACCUGCUUUCAUCUAUUAGUAUAUUCUGAGGUUUUAUAUCACAGUGGAUGAUCUGAGUGUCGCACUCUUCAUGUAGAUAAACAAUACCCCUUGCAAUGUUGCGAGCAAUUUCCAACCUUUCAGGGAAGCAAGGUCGUUUUUCAAGUGAGAAGAGUAUGUCAGCAAGGGAGCCAUUGCUCAUGUACUCGUAUACCAGGAGCCUGUGAUGUUCAUCAUGGCAAUAGCCGAGCAGACGGACUAGGUUUCUGUGAUGUGUUUUCCCAAUGACUUUCAUCUCAUUCUGAAAUUCUCUUUCCCCUUCAGCUAGAGCUUUCUCCAGUCUCUUGACAGCAACAACCUUCCGAGUACUUGAUAUUAUCCCUUUAUAAACUGUCCCAAAUGAUCCCCUGCCAAUUUCUUCCUUGAAACCACCAGUAACAUCUUCUAGCUCUGCAUAAGUGAAAGCUCGAGGAGCAAAUUCCUCAUUCAAUGCACUACCAUCAUUUUUGGGAACCUUUUUAUAUGCCAAUACAUGAUAUCUGUAAAUGAUGAUUCCGAAAAUCGCCACCAUAGCAAGCCCAAAAGCAACAACUGAACAACUUAUUAUUACGAUUCUCCUGCCAGUGCCAAGGUUCUUCUUCUCUUUUCUGUCCAUGGAGGAUAUGGGUCUACCCACCUUGACGACAGCCAAGUUGGAACUUUCUAAGUUUCUCCUCCCAAAUCUCAAAGGAAGCCUUUGCUUUCUGCAGUACUGCCCAUCAGUGAAUAAUGCUGCUUCACAGUUACAGUCUUCCAAACAGGCUUGCUUACAAUUGUCUUUCAUUGUUAAAGACAAAACGGAGUAUGAAACAUCUUCCCAGAAUAUUAGACAGCUCUUCCAUGGUGUAUGUGCUACUUCCAUUCUUGUUUGCAACUUUCAGCAUGAAAUCCCUCUCACAGCCAGAAGUCCAAUUUCCCUGGGUAACAAACUUAAAUCCAGGAAGACAAAUACAUUCAGCUUCCUGAUCCUUCAACACAAUAUCCAUUAAGACCGCAUGAUCCUUUCGGGUGGCACUUUGCUUGUGGAUGACCACACAGCUGACCAGUUUCCAUUCCGUGUCAGAUUUUGUGAAUAUAAUCUGAAAAUCCCAUCAGCAUCAAGUUUCAUAUUAAUUGUUUCUUUCGUGGGAUAUCCUCCAGCUGUAAUGUUUUUAUGUUGAAACCUGUGGAAUUGAGCAGGUAGAGACGGCCAUCCGGAUCAAGAUUUAGGGUCACAUUAUCUCCCGCCCCAUUAGUAUCAGAUGCAAAAUAAGCAUAUGGAGCUGUAUCUGGAGUACUAACAGGAUACUGCACAAGGUGUCCAUCAUGUUGCAUCUUGAGUCGGUAAAUACCAGUUGAGAGGUCAGUUUCUGAAACAGGAGAAACCAGCUCUGCCCCUGCUCUGAGCUGUUGAGUUGGCAAAAGGGUAUCUGUUGGGUGGUCAAAACUCUGCCAUAUAAUCUCGUGAUCAGAAUUAUAUAGCACAAAGUUGCCUGAAUCAGACAUAGAAGCUAAAGAAGCUGGCUGGGAAGCAGAAACUAUCGGAGUCUCAUCCCCUUGUGCUGAUCUCAAGACAACCCUGCCAUCACUGGUGAAGAGCAAGGUCGCAUUACUGGGGACUGGGGCGUCAUCCCUUCUAGCAAAGAAAGAGAAGAUGCUUUACAAGAGGCACAGAAGCAAGUCCUUAAAGUCAACAGAAAGAAGGACAACAAAGCAAAGACCAUCAUCUAUCAAGGUCUUGAUGAAGAUACAUUCGAGAUAAUAGCUUCCGCUGAAACGUCACAUGAUAUAUGGGAGGCUCUCCAACAAAAAUACAAAGGUGCUGACAGAAUCAAGAAGAUUCGUCUUCAAUCUUUGAAAGGAGAAUUUGAAUUAUUACGAAUGAAGUCCUCAGAAUCUAUUUCUGAUUAUCAUACAAGGAUUAUGGUGAUAGUCAAUCAGAUGAGGAGAAAUGGAGAAGCCAUCAUAGAUACUCGAAUUAUUGAGAAAAUUUUGAGAUCCAUAGAUCCAAAAUUUGAUCAUGUUGUUGUCGCAAUUGAAGAGUCCAAGGAAGUGGACAAGUUGACAGUGGAUGAGCUUAUGAGUUCUUUGCAAGCUCAUGAGCAGAAGAUUGUAAUGCGAAAUGAAGAUAAGGCCAUUGAGCAUGCCUUACAAGCAAAGCUGUCUUUCAAGGACAGAUAUGAGCAAGGGGAGACUUCAACAAGUGGCUACACCACUCAAGGAGGAAGUCAACAAUCCAGAGGAGGAUUCCAGAGAUUCCAAGGAAGAGGUUCUUGGAAUACAAGCUUCAGAGGAAGAGGUGGUAGAAACACCACCAGAGGAGGCCAAGGCCAACAAGCAUUCACUCCCAGAGGAAGAGGAGGCGGUUACAAUAACCGUGACAAGAGGAAUAUCCAAUGUUAUAGUUGCAAUCAAUUUGGGCACUAUAGCACUGAAUGCCGAUGGAAAGCUCCGUUGGAGAUACGUGAGCAAGCCAACUAUGUAGAGAAGCAUGAUGGAGAAGCAUCUGCAUUUCUUGUCCAACAAGGACAUGGCGAGAAAAAGAGGAGAUAUGGUAUCUAGAUACUGGAGCCAGCAAUCACAUGUGCGGCUACCGAGAGUUAUUUGGUGAUCUAGAUGAGACCAAGCAAGGUCUAGUUACUUUUGGAGAUACCACAAAGGUUCCAUUCAAAGGUAAAGGCAACAUCCCAGUCAAGUUGAAGAAUGGCGAUUCCAGCUACAUCGCCGAUGUGUAUUAUGUCCCAGCCAUAAAGCAGAACCUGAUCAGCUUAGGUCAACUUUUGGAGAGAGGAUAUAUUUUUACUCGAAGAAUUGUCAUCUGCAAUUAGAGACAACAAUGGGAGAUUAAUGGCCUACGUGAAAAUGUCCAAGAAUAGGAUGUUUCCUUUGAACAUCCAGUAUGAUGCAACAAGGUGUUUGAGUGCCAUCACCAACAGUGAAGAAUGGCUUUGGCACCUGAGGCUUGGACAUCUGAAUUUCACAAGUUGAAGAUGCUAGCAAGCAAGAAGAUGGUCAAAGGUUUGCCUCACAUUGAUCAUCCAGAUGAAGUCUGUGAGAGUUGUGUCCUCAGCAAACAUCACAGAUCCAGUUUUGCCAAAGAAGUCAACUGGAGAGCAAAGAGGCCACUGGAGUUAGUACACACAGAUGUGUGUGGCCCAAUUACGCCUAUGUCGACUGGACAAAAUAGGUACUUCCUCACUUUUACUGAUGAUUUUAGUAGAAAGACGUGGAUAUACUUUCUGAAGAGGAAGUCAGAAGUAUUCAAUUGUUUUAAAGAUUUUAAAGCAAUUGUGGAGAAGCAAACUGGUUACACGAUCAGAACCGUAAGAUCUGAUCAAGGUGGAGAAUAUACAGCAAAUGACUUUGAAGCCUAUUGUACACAACAAGGCAUCAGACAUCAGACGACGCCAGCUUAUACACCACAGCUGAACGGUGUAGCAGAAAGGAAGAAUCGCACGAUUCUUGACAUGGCAGAAGUUGCUCAAAGCAAAGAAGCUGCCCAAGCAAUACUGGGCUGAAGCUGUAUCAUGUGCAGUGUAUCUGUUGAAUCGCUGCCCAACCAGAAGUUUGCAAGGAGUCACUCCAGAAGAAGCAUGGAGUGGUCACAAACCAAGUGUUACUCAUCUACGAGUCUUUGGUUGUGUGGCAUAUGCAAAGAUCCCAGAUGCAAGAAGGAGAAAGCUCGAUGAUAAGAGCGAGAAAUGCAUCUUUGUCGGAUAUGGUGAAAGAAGGAUGGGAUACAGACUGUAUAAUCCCAUCACGAAGAAGGUGAUUACGAGUAGAGAUGUUAUCUUUGAAGAAGAUAAAUCUUGGGCAUGGAAUGUGAUCAAGAAGCAGUCAAAUGGAUCAAUCUUGAUUUGAUCCUUGAAGGUGAAGAAGUACCAACAGUACUUGUAGAAGAACCGAUUGUGCCAGCAGCUGAACCACAAAGUCCAGUGUUUAUACCAGUAGCUGAACCACAAAGUCCGGUACACAGAUUCCCUGUAUUCAACAGGAGGAACACACCAGGAGCAUCAUCAUCAACACCACCAUCAGCAUCCUCGUCAGAAGGACCAAGAAAGAUGCGGAAUCUUGAAGAGUUGUACGAUACCACUCAGGUCAUGGAAGAUACAACUUUGUUUUGUUUCCAUGCAGAUAAGGACCCACCAGAAAAGAAGAAAGCAAAAGGUGUCAAAAGGGUCUACAAGACGAAAGCCAAAUUAGUGGAUAAAGGCUACAAGAGAGAAGGCAUUGAAAGAAGAAGUGUCCAUGCUUGGCAUGACAUCCCUCGAUUGAGUUUAAAGGGGAGAUUUGUUGAAUUAAACUCAACAUCUAGAUGGUCAAGGAAGGAAACCACCAGCUGCCACCGACCAGCCGUCAGCCACCAGCCGCCUUCACACCGCCGGUCAACAGCCGCCUUCACACCUGGAACAGUAGAUUUUUGUAUUCUGAAUUUAUGUAUAAAUAGGGUGCUCAGUUAUGUUAAAUUGUGUGGAGAGAAUUGAGAGAAACACUUGAAAGAGAAAGAGAGAGAGAGAGGGCGUGUAUUAAGCUUUUGUUUUGUGUUAAUUGUAAGCUUCGGUUUUGUGUAAUAAAACAGUGUGUUUUAUCCCCUCUGAGUGUCUCAAAGCCACCACCAGUGGUUUCUCCCACCAACAGCCCACACAACAGUCUUUAGUGAAAUCCCGGAUAGAAAAACCCCUAUAGAAUAGCCGUCGCGUUGUCGGAAAAAUCCGAAAGCAUAAAGACCAGAAGGUGACAACCAUAAGGAGUUUGUGAAAGGUGUUAGAGAAGAUCCGAGGGUUAUAUUGGUCUGUCUUUGAGCUGAAGCUGUAAAAGAUAAGGCGAGAAGAAGAAAAAAGAUGAUAGAAGCCAUGGAUAGGGAUUUAGCUCUUGUCUGGUAUGGGAGUGUCAAUAUAAGGAUGUCUAAUGUUCCAGCACUCCAGUCUCUUUCUUUGGGUUCCAGCAGUCAAGCCAGGCACUCAGAACAUGAAAGUCUAGCCAUAAAAUCCACGCUUGCUUGUAUGCUUUCAAAGUCAAUGCAGUUGCGACGCCCCAUUUGAACAGCCAUUUGCUAAUUUCCCCUGGACUGUUCUUGGUUCUAAUUUUCUGCAGCAGAUUCUUUUUUAUUUGUCAAGUACCAUCAAUAUGCUUUUGAUAACAUAUUGAUGGUAUGGUUUUUUCUAUGGUUUUUUCAAUGGACCGUUGAUUCUAUGGUUUUUUUCCACACGUAUUUUGCAGGAACAGAAAUUGGACGUAUGAGUAAAGUAAUGUAUCUCUUGUCCUUGGCUGUAGCCAGUCUUUCUUUGAGCGUGUUUGGAAUUAAGAUAGUAAUAAUGGUUUAAAAUGUUUUUUAUUUAAAAAUAUAUUAAAAUAAAAAUUUGUUAUUUUAAAAAAAAUUAUUUUUAAUUUUAAUAUAUUAAAAUAAUUUAAAAAUAUAAACAAAAUUUAAAAUUUAAAAUAACAGAAAUGUGUUCGAUUGACGGAUUGAGGGUGCCCCUGUAUGACUUUAUUCAGAGUAUAAUUAAGGUGGUCACAACAGGGACUGUUCUCAGCAAAAAUGUCUUCUCUGACUAGCUUCAAAGCCAUGGGUGCGCUUUGAGGGGCUUUAUAAUUUAUUUAUUAAAAAUGUAUUAUGAAAAAGUAAAUAUGUAAAUCUUCAUGGGAGAUCUCUAAUAGAUGAAUUCUACAUUUUUUUUUGCCCGUAAGUUUUUUCUAACUUUAAAAAAUAUAAAGUCCAUGCAGUUAUAACUUAAAUCAACCUGGAUUAAUUUAACUAAUAUACAAAGCUCAAGGUGCAAUUAUUUAAUAUUAAAAAUUAAAAUUAUAUAAAUAAAAAAUAUUAAAUAAAAAAAUUUAAGUCAACUCAUCACCCGCAAUACAAGACUAGAACUAAAAAAUAAUUAAAAAAAAACUUAAAAAAACUCAUGAGCACUGUAUAUUGAAAUUGAAAAUGCUGUUGAAAGUUAUAUUUAUUGAAAUUAAAGGUUUUUUCAUAUUUUCAUAAAGGUUUACAUCAUUGUUUUACUUUUUUUAAAAAAAUUAUUAUUUGACAUUGUUUUUUUUUUAAAAAGGCUUUGUAGUUUUUAAUUUUUAUUUCAAUUGUAGUGUCUCGAUCUUAUAAUUUAAAUUAUAAAUUUACUGGGUUAAUUCAAGUUGACUCGAUCCUUUUUCUAGAUUCACUUUUCUAUGAAAGGAAUUUUACUCUCUUUUUUAACAUUAUUUUUUUAAAAAAAUAAAAUUAGUUCAUCCCUGUGGCGCAGAGCAGGUGCACAUCUAGUCUCUCUGCUAAAUGUUUUGCAAUCUGAUUUGCUUCUCUAAAUACAUGACUGAAACUGACUAAUAUAUAAUUAAACAAACUCUAGAGAAUCCCAUACAUACCUAAUCGUUUGAACGCGAAAUUGAUGCAUUUGGAUGUAAAGUGAAAACCGUAAAUUAGGACUCCUAAAUUUCUAGUUUUUAGGGUUCAGAUUUCUAUCAGUCAUGAAGAGAGAGAUUUUGAUUUUUUUUUGAGAGAUAAAGGAGGACAAGAGAAAGUAUUGAAUGUGAGUGUUACCAGUCAUUUCUUAUAUAUUAUAUAUAUGAGGGUAAUUUUUUUUUUUGAUUAUUUUAAAGAUUUUUUAUUAUAAUUUCUCAAAGUAUUUUUUAUAAUGGGGAAAUGAAAACACGAUCAAAGCACAAGAAUGAUAAAUAUCCGUUCUCAUCUUGCGGGGGGAUAUUGGAACCUAGCGCAUACUCACACAAAACAUAAAGAAGCUAAGGAUGCAGACAAUUCUUCAUUGCUUGCGGAGCAAGUAACCCCUGCAGCCGACUCCCCUACACCAAAAGACUAACGAAGACUAGCCAAGUUAUCAUAACACAUUGUAAAUUGUGGAUAUAAUAAAGUUAGUUAUAUACUGUUAAAGUUAGUUAGAAUAUGUGUAUAUAUAUGUAUUCAUGUAUACUGCAAAAGAGACAAAUAAUAAGAGAAGAAAUACUGCAUAUUGAUUGCAGACUUUCCAAACGUAUCUUCCUUCUUCUUCUCUCAUAAGAAAUUUUAUUCUCUUCUUCUUUCUCUACUUCUACAGGAAAGAAUAAAUUCUGCUAUAACAAAAUUAUUAUGGUAUCAGAGCAAGAUUUCUUCUAAAUCUCUGAAAAUAUAUACUCUUCUUUAUUUUUUUUCAGAAAGAUUCAAGAUCUUUGUAGUUGGAUAUUUUUCUGUCAUCAACUUCUUGAUUCCUUCAAAACUUCAAAAUGUCUGAUCAUCUUGAAGAAAGUGCUUCUACAGCACAUAAAGAUUCAUCCAAUAUCACUACUCUGAAUCUUUCUGAUGAUUCUUCCAGCUGCUACUACCUCCAUCCUUCUGAUAAUCCUGGCGCACUUCUAGUUUCUGAAAUCUUCACUGGCGAAAAUUAUAUUGCAUGGAGCAGAUCCAUGACAAUUGCCUUAACAGUGAAAAACAAGAUUGCCUUCAUUGAUGGAUCUUUAGUUCAACCAAACACCACCAAUCAAUCACUUUGUGUGGCAUGGCUGAGAUCAAACAAUCUGGUUCUAUAAUGGCCGAUGAAUUCAAUUGCCAAAGAAAUUAGCAACAACCUUCUUUACUUCACAACAACAUUCGAUAUCUGGGAAGAAUUACGAAUGAGAUAUCUUAGAAGUGAUGGACCAAGGGUUUUUAGUUUAGAAAAAUCUUUGAGUUCUAUUUCCUAGAAUUCAAAAUCUAUCACUGAAUAUUUCAGUGAAUUCAAGGCACUAUGGGAUGAAUACAUCAGUUAUCGCCCAAUCCCAAGCUGCAAAUGUGGAAAUCUUGAUUCCUGCUCAUGCAACAUUUUUAAACAUCUAACAGAUCGACAACAAUCCGACUUUGUUAUGAAAUUUUUGGUUGGCCUUCAUGAUUCUUACUUAGCAGUUAGAAGCCAACUAUUGCUCCAAACUCCUUUGCUAUCUAUGGGCAGAGUCUUUUCCCUACUUCUUCAAAAAUAGAGUCAGAGAUCCCUAACAAAUGCAGCAGGCAUUCCAAUUGAUUGCCAAGCAAUGAUUGCUGAACACUACCACAAUCAAAAUUCCAAAUCAGGUUCAACAUAUACUACACGCUUUGCUAAACAAAAAGGAAAAACUGAGGCAACCUGCUCCCACUGUGGAUAUCCUGGACAUACUAUUGAUAAAUGUUUCUAACUUAUUGGAUACCCUCUUGGGUGGAAAGGAUCAAGAGGAAAAAGAUUUGCUACUAUGCCACAGACCAGCAAAAACUUUCAACGAUUACCCACUGCACAUCAUACUACUAUCUUGCAACCACAUCUUGACACCCCUAACAUUGUUUUCUCUCAAGAACAGAUGCAAAAUCUACUCACUCUAGCAAAUAGCAUUUCCAGCUCAAAGAUAAAUAACACUACUAAAGAAGUAUCUACAUCAGGUAUAUCUUUUUCAUGUCAUACAUCAUCUUCACCUCAAAAUAGAUUUUCAUGGAUUCUUGAUACUGGAGCCACAUAUCACAUGAUUUGUAGUCCUCUUCUUUUUUAAUCCAUCAUUCUCCCUAAAACUCAGUCUAAAACUCAGUCUAAAGUUCAUCUGCCAAAUGGUCAACAUGUACCAAUUCUCUUCACUGGAACGGUUAAAUUUUCUCCUGACAUCAUUUUAUACAAUGCACUUUAUGUUCCAGCUUUUAAUAUCAAUCUAAUUUCUGUUUCUAAAUUAACUGCCGCUAACACUGUUGGCUUAUUUUUUCUUCACACAAAAUGUAUUCUGCAGGAUCUAAGCAAAUGGAAGAUGAUUGGUCUUGCUGAAGCUGAAUCUGGUCUCUACAAUCUUCACAAACCCCCUGAUCAAAAUACUAAAGAAUCACCUCCUAGAUCAAACAUCAAAUCCUGUGUUGUUGCGACAAAUCUCUAGCAUUUACGUUUAGGCCACAUCCCUCCCUCCAAAAUCACCCUUUUGAACAAAACUGAUCCUUCAGUCACUAUCAGCAACAAUACCAUUUGUGAUAUUUGCCCCCUAGCUAAACAAAAACGGUUGCCCUUUUCUUUAUCUAUUCAUAAAUCUACAACAGCUUUUCAAUUAGUUCACAUUGACAUUUGGGGACCAUUCUCUGUUACCUUUUAUUCUGGUUAUCAAUUUUUUCUUACUAUUGUAGAUGAUUACAGUAGAUUUACUUGGUUAUUUUUAAUGAAAUCUAAAUCUGAAACAAGACAUCUUCUCAGCAAUUUUCUAGCCUAUGUUCAUACUCAAUUUAACACCAACAUUCAAACUCUCAGAUCCGACAAUGGCCAAGAAUUUAAUAUGCCUACUUUCUACCAAACGCAUGGCAUCAUACAUCAAUUAACAUGUGUUGAAACACCUUAACAGAAUGGAAGGGUUGAAAGAAAACAUCAACACCUGCUCAAUUUAGCUCGAUCUCUUCUGUUUCAAUCCCAACUACCUUUAUCUUAUUGGACAAAUUGCAUACUCACAGCCACACACCUCAUUAAUCGUACCCCCUCCCUCAUUCUCCAAAAUCAGACACCUUACCAAGUUCUUUAUCACAAACCACCAUAUUACAAUUACUUAAGAGUAUUCGGCUGUUUAUGUUUUGCUAGCACAAUCACACAUAAUAGAGGUAAAUUUCAUCCCAGAGCCACGAAAUGUAUUUUUCUUGGAUACCCUCCACACAUUAAAGGAUACAAAGUUCUUGACUUAACCAUUUGCAAAACCUUUGUAUCUCGAAAUGUUGUUUUUCAUGAAUCCACCUUUCCAUCUAUUCCAAACAAAGUUCAUACACCCCUUGUGUUCCCUGACUAUCCUCAAAAUUUUGACCCUUUUCCUUGUCUCCCAUCAAACACAACUCUACAUGAUUCUGUUGUUCCUGCAAAACUUCCUAUACAACCUCCUGUUCCUCACAUUUCUCCCCUACCUCCUCCUCCUCUUCCCCAACUUAGAAAAUCUGAAAGAAAUAAACAUCCACCUACUUACUUAACACAGUAUUAUUGUGGACAUAUGGCUCAGAUUGCUUCAGCAACUCCAGACUCUCCACCUUGCUCCCUGCCUGGUAAGCCCUACUCUAUCUUUUCUUUCUUGUCUACCUCCCAAUUAUCUUUACCCCACUGUGCUUUCACUUCUUCUGUUUCAUCUGUUUAUGAACCGAAAACUUACAAACAAGCUAGCUCUAUCCCUCAUUGGCAACAUGCUAUGACCAAUGAAAUCAAAGCUCUUGAGAAAAACAAAACUUGGGACUUAGUCAUUCUGCCACCAAAUAAAACUGUCAUUGGAUGUAAAUGGGUCUACAAAGUUAAAUUUCAGGCUGAUGGACAGGUUGAAAGAUAUAAAGCACGAUUGGUAGCAAAAGAAUACACACAACAAGAGGGAAUUGAUUUUUUUGACACUUUCUCUCCUGUUGCAAAAAUCACAACAGUACGAGUUCUUCUCACCAUUGUUGCAGCCAACAAUUGGCAUUUACAUCAACUUGAUGUAGACAAUGCCUUCCUACAUGGUGACUUAUAUGAGGAAGUAUAUAUGCAAUUACCACCUGGCUACUCCAAUCACAAUGACCCUCGAAUCUGCAAGCUCAAAAAGAGCAUCUAUGGUCUUAAACAGGCUUCUAGACAAUGGUUUUCCAAACUCUCUGCAUCUCUACUUCACUUUGGUUUUCUACAAGCCAAAUCAGAUUCUAGCCAUUUCAUCAAGCAAUCUCACACAGCCCUCAUUGACAUUUUAAUCUAUGUUGAUGAUGUUCUCAUCGCCUCCAAUGAUCUUACAGCACUGACUAUAGUAAAAAACUACCUUCGCACAAUUUUCCCUAUCAAAGAUUUGGGAAACCUUAAAUACUUUCUCGGUAUUGAGGCAGCUCGAUCUACCAAAGGCAUUGUUCUUUUCCAAAGAAAAUAUGCCUUGGACAUACUUACAGACAGUGGUUUUUCUGGCGCUAAACUUGUCAAUUUUCCAAUGGAAUCCACACUCAAACUCAGCACACAUGAUACUAGCCCUCCCUUGACUAAUCCUGCAUCUUAUCGUAGACUUAUUAGCAAGCUUCUCUAUCUUACACUCACAAGACCAGACUUAUCCUAUGCCAUCCAAACUCUCAGCCAAUUCAUGUCAAACCCUCACACCCUAUAUAUGCAAGCAGCAGAGAGAGUUCUUCGGUAUCUCAAAGCCACACCAGGAAAAGGCUUACUUCUCAAAGCUGCUUCUCCUCUUCAUUUAAAAGCUUAUUCUAACAGUGAUUGGGGAGGUUGCAUUGACACUCGUCGACGUGUUACUGGCUACCUAGUCUUUCUUGGAGAUUCAUUAAUAUCCUGGAAAUCAAAGAAACAACCUACUGUAAGUAGGUCCUCUGCAGAAGCUGAAUAUCGGGCAUUGGCAACUACUUCAUGUGAACUACAAUGGCUUACUUAUUUACUAGCCGAUUUCCACAUCCCUCACUCUCAACCUGCCUUACUCUACACUAACAGCAAACCAGCCUCCGAAAUAGCUUACAACCCUGUUCAUCAUGAACGCACCAAACAUAUCCAACUUGACUGUCAUCUUGUACGUGAAAAAAUGCAAGAAGGACUCCUUACCAUCAUUCACAUUCCUUCCAAAUUUCAAUUAGUUGAUGCCCUCACUAAACCACUUGGUUAUCACAUGCUUAAUCCUCUCCUUGACAAGAUGGGAAUGAUAAAUAUCCAUUCUCAUCUUGCGGGGGGAUAUUGGAACCUAGCGCAUACUCACACAAAACAUAAAGAAGCUAAGGAUGCAAACAAUUCUUCACUGCUUGCGGAGCAAGCAACCCCUGCAGCCUACUCCCCUACACCAGAAGACUAACGAAGACUAGCCAAGUUAUCAUAACACAUUGUAAAUUGUGGAUAUAAUAAAGUUAGUUAUAUACUGUUAAACUUAGUUAAACGUUUGUUAACGUUUUAUUAACAGAAGCUAGUUAGAAUAUGUGUGUAUAUAUGUAUUCAUGUAUACUGCAAAAGAGACAAAUAAUAAGAGAAGAAAUACUGCAUAUUGAUUGCAGACUUUCCAAACGUAUCUUCCUUCUUCUUCUCUCAUAAGAAAUUUUAUUCUCUUCUUCUUUCUCUGCUUCUAUAGGAAAGAAUAAAUUCUGCUAUAACAAAAUUAUCAUAAUUAGAGAAAAACAAUUUACUAUAUUUCAUAUGUCACAAAUAUUUUUCAUAAAAUAAAUACAACUUAACUUUGAUAAAUGAUACCUCUAGAAAUGUGGAAUCCAUUUAUAAUUGAAUUAAAAUUAUAUUGAAAUGCUUCUUAUCAGAACAGAAAAAAAAAACAUAUUGAAAUGGGCCUACCAAAUACAGCAUUAAAUAUUUUAAUUACCAUAAAAUUGACAACUAGCAAUGAAAUUAACAACAAAAAAUAUUUUCAUUGGUAAUAUCCGAUGAAAAUAGCAAUGAAACAUAUCCAUUAAAUAUUAAAAAAUUAAAUAGCAAUGGAAUAUGUGCAAUCAAUAAUUAUCAAUGAAAUUGGCAAUGAAAUAAAAAUAAUUAGAAAAAAUAAAUAAAUAUUAUGUCAGCAAUUCCAUCGAUAAUAUGACACAUCAUUAUUUACAAAAUGUUUCAUUGGUAUUCACCGAUGAAAAUAUUUCAUCAGUAGUUUUCAUUGGAAGUUUUGUCGAUAAAUUUACAAGUGUUACAACCAACAACAACCCGCCCUAUCCAUUUCUUCUUCUUAUUUAAUAUCAGAAAAUAGGUACCCUCCUUGUUAUGUCACAAAUCUAGGCCUUGUAUUUAUAAAUUUGACCACCCCAACAUUCAAUAGUGUCAGUAUUAUUAUCUCGGUUCAAUUUUUUCUAAAUACUCACUACACCAAGUAAGCAAACCUACAUAUUUAUGUUUUAGGUUAAUUUAUUGAUAUUUUUGUAAUAUUUUGUAAUUUAAUUGUAUAUUUAAGUGUUUUACAUCUGUUUUUCCUUAAGAAUUUUGUUGUAUUAAAGAAUGAUUUGUAUGUUAGGAUUUGUUUGGGAUUUGAAGAAAAUUGAAUUUGUUUUUCAUUUGAUGAAUUUAAGUUUGAUUUUGUAAUUUAUGUUUGUUAUAUCAGAAGAAAUGAUAAGUUAUUUAAUAGAUAUAAUUAUAUUUUGUCGAUUUUAUUAAGUUUGGAAAUUUUACUAGGUGUGUUAUGCAACCCAAGAUUAAAGACGCGUUGUAGUGUUUUGAUCAUAAACAUUUCAUAAUCCAACAUAAAACAACCAUCACUUGUCAUUUAGGAGUUAGAUUCAAGAACAAAUUAUUGUUGCAAAGGCUAAACUUGAGGUAGAGUAUGAAGAAUGAAGUAGAAAGCAAUGAAAGUAAAUGAUAAUAUACAUGUAGACUUAUUAUUCUCCCACUGGAAAUAUUCAUCCCCCUCCACCUCUACCUUCAUAUGCAGCUCCAACUUUAGUUAGUUAGGAGUUUAUCUAAUAUAUUAAGAUAUUUAUAAUUGAUUUUAUAAUUAAAUUAAUGAAAUAAAAUGUGUUCUUUAAUUUAAUAUAAUUAAAUAUUAAUUUGUUUAAUCUAAAUAAACAUUUAUUAAAAAAAAUAAACAACAAACAUAGAAAUUAAGUUGAUGAUUUUGUCAAUUACAUCAGUCUAUUUGUAUCUAAAAAUUACAUAAAAAUUGUUUAAUUUUUUGGCAUCAUUGAUACAAUCACUGCCAUAAUUUUUAUGUUCACGAUCCGUCAUCGAUACAUGAUCAAUUACCGACUGGUAUUCUGUCGUUUAUCGUUUAUGCCUUGGAACUGUACCUGUGUGUAGGUAUGGACAAUUGCUUUUUAGGCAAGAAACUGCGUUGUGGGAUAGGAGAAGAAGGGGCAGAAACAAGCAAAGAUCAUUCUCUCAUCCUAUUCUUCAUGAAGAGCUCUCACUCUUGAGAUUACAUCAGACCAACAAAAGUUGUUUUUACUCAUCCUAAUAAGAUCAUCACAGAGAAGAUUGGCAAGGAACUUCUAAGUACUGGUGUUGUUUUGAUUUCCUUUUCUUUGGUGGUCUUUGCAUCAUCUGACUUGAUGGUCAUGAUGACACGCCAAGCUUCUCCACCAGAUGUCACUGAAGGUAUUAAGAUCUGCACCUUUUAGCUACGAUCAACUCGCGGUGGCCACGAUGAUUCAAGGAAGAGAUCGGUAAAGGGGCAUCAGGAGGCUCUGUAGAGGCUCGUUAGCAAAGAAUGACGGGAAAGAAAUAGCAGUGGAGAGUCUAGAGAAGGUGGUGGAAGAUGGAGAAGGGGAGUUCCGAAACGGGGUGAAGAUAAUGGAGAGGACUACAAUAACUUGGUACGUUUGAUUGGCUUUUGCAGUGAAGGAUCAAAUAGGCUUCUUGUGCAUGAGUUCAAGAUCAUUCAUUGUAACAUAUUUUCUUCUCUAGAGUUUAUAAUAAAUAAAUUAUUUGUAAGAAAACGAAGUUCAGUUGCAUUGUUGAUGGUGUUCCAAAAUUUACUAUGUUUAGAAAUGAGAAUUUUAAGUGUUUAAAUGAAUGAUGAUUAUACAUUCACUUCUAUAUUUUCUUGUUCACAAUUCAUAAAAUUGAUUGUUGGUGAUAAAAGACUUGACACUUAUAAAAUAGUUUUUUUUUUGUGGGGCUUAGGGGGCAUCUGAAUGAUAAAGUUAAUGACUUUUUAUAUGAGAUUAUAAUAAAUUAAGAAAAUAAGCUUUAAAUAAAAAAAUAAAUAAAAAUGUUUGUUCUUAUUUAUGUAUGAUAAAACACCUUGAAAAUAAGAAUAUAAACACUUUAAAGAAUAGAAAAAGUGUGAACCUUUUACUUGAAUGGUUCAGAGAAAUUUAUAAUGCCUGAACUUUGUUGUUUUUUUUAAGGGGUGGAUAGUCACUUCCUUUUGAAAAUGUAAAUGAGAAAAAACAUCUUACACAACAUUAAUUUUAAUGGAAAUAACCCUUACAUUAAUAUUGAUUGGAAUACGUAGGACUUGUAAGAGAUUUUUAUAUAUUAUUUUGUAUGUAACAUUAAUGUUGAUGGGAAUUGUCUUUAAUCAACAUUAAUUUUGAUUAGAAUAUGACAGGUUUUUGAAAGAUUUUUAUACACCUAAGAAUAUGACUAUCAUAGACUCUUAAUAUUUUAUGUUAAGAAUUAUAAAAUAGCUUUAUGACUCAAUAUAGGGCUUAUAAAAACUUUUAACCCCAUAUGUAUUUGCACCUAGAUUGAUUUUAAACUCAAGGGUUUUGAGUCAAAUAUUUUGUCAGACCCAUAGGAACUUGAGCUUUAGCGUCAGACCUAUAUUCACUCAGGCUUAACGCGUAGCUGAGUCCAAUGGUAUUUGGUCUGGAAUCUCGUCAAACUCACAUGUACUUGAGCUCAACACAUAAUUAAACUCAAGGGUGUUGGGUCAAGAAGCAAGCCAGACUCACAUCAUCUAGGUUAACACCUUGCUUUUGACCUUUUUUAUGAUUGGCUUCUUAAGCAAACAAAUUGUGUAUAAAAUAUACUAAUCUAGUAGUGGCCCCGUAAGGGUAUUUCUUCCAUCUUGCUUUUGAGUUAAGGUAUUCCAUCCAUUUUCAAGGAUUUAUGAGAGACAUCUUUAGGUAUUAUAAAUUGGGUUUAAGCCAAUUGCACCCCAAAUGAUGGGUGAUUUUAGGGGCGAGUAAAAAAAUUAAAAAACCAAUUAAACCAAGAAAACAAAAAAAAUAACAAAAAAAACUGAACGGUGAAAAAAACCAAAUUAAACUGAUUAGAAUGUUUAAAAAAAUUGACCGGUUUAGUUUUGGUUUCAUAAGCCUAUAUAUAUAUAAAUUGUGUCCAGCUUGCUAUGUGUGGAGUCAGUUGCACAACUCUUGGGUCCUAUGUCAAGAAUUGUGACUUAGGGCGUUUCUUUCUUUGCCAAAAGCUUCUGGCAGCCAAACCCAUAACACUUCCAAAACAUACCAAUAACCUUGGGUCUUGCUACCCAACAUGGCCUAAUAGUGUUGUGAAAGGCAUAGCCAAACCCAAAACACUUCAAAAAAGAACUGGGUUUGGUUGACCAGCCAAACCCAACAAUCUUAGGUCUGGCUCGGCAGCUAAACCCAACACCUUUUUGAAGUGUUUUGGGUAUAGCUCCACACUAUUGGGUCCUGUAGUAGGACCCAAUGCUAUUGGCACCUUCUUGGGUCUAAUUGGGUAGCCUGACCCAAUAUCUUUAGGUCCGGCUGUACAACCAUACCCAAAAUAGUUUUGGGUUCGACUGUUUAACAGGACACAAUAGGUUUGGGGACCAAAUAACACUAGGUCCAAACCAAAUUUUCUUGAGUCCAGUGUCCGGACGGUGUUGCACCUGAUACUAAUGGGUUCUGCGUCGCGACCCAAUUCUCUAGUGUCCAUGUUAGGACCCAUGGUUCAAGUAUCCGGCUUUAGGACCCGAUUGUAUUUUGUCCGCGUCAGGAGCCAAGUGUAAUGGGUCCUACUUUUGGACCUAAUUAUAUUGGUAUCGCAUGUGUGCGGUGUCGCGGCGAACUGGUUUCACUUUAAAUCUAAAAGUAAAUCUAUCAAGCAAAUAUGGGGAGACAAGAAAUUUUUGUCGCUUAUCGGUGGAAAAUGGAAUGUGAGUCGCCACCUAGUAUUUUGAUCACUAGGAACCCUAACUGGUCUCAGAGAUCGGGUACGGGACUGAUUGCGUAAAUGGAAGGUAUUAGUACCCCAAAUACGCUUUACCCAAGGUAAGCUGCAUUGUUUGAUUGUCUGAUAAAAGCUAAGGUGUUAUUGUAUUUCUAGUUGUUGGUCUGUCUAUGGUUCAAGAAAAAUCCUCCUCAAUAAAGAGGUCCUUAUCUUAUCGGGUAAAAACUUAAAUGUUCUAACGUCUAUAUGAAAACUAUAUUUUUAAUAUCAGGAAUGCGUUUUACGUAUAAAUUCGUAAUCCUAGAUACUAAAAGAAGACAAAAGGAUUUUUUUUGAAUUUUUGAAAUAUUGGCCUAGUUCUCAUGACUCUAACAAACUUGUUGUUAAAGCCAAAGUGCAUGCUAAUACAUAUAUAUUUUUUUGAAAUUUUUCCCUGUUGUAUGCAAAUAUAAUGUGAUGAUUUUUUAUAUAUAUUUUGGAGAGACUAGGCCGUAUGCAUGAAAACAAAACACUUUUUUAUUUUAUUAUAUAUUUUUUAUGCCUUGAUGAAAACCGGGUAUUUUAAUACUAGAUUUUUAUCUUUACGGUAUAAAAAUACAAACCAAUAUUAAGCAAUAAAAAUAUGCAGGAAAAUCAACAAUUUUUUUAAGGAUUUUUCAGAAUUUUGAAUAUAAAACAUUUUAUAUUUUAUAUUUUUUGAUGUAUUGAUGAAAACCAUGUAUUUUAAUACUAGAUUUGUAUCUUUACAGUAUAAAAAUAAAAACCAAUAUUGAUCAAAAUGCAGUAACAAUAUUGCGGAAAAUCACAAAUUUUUUGAAAUAAUUUUUGAAGAAUUUUGUUUUUUUUAUGGGUCGGGUCCAAUUCGGCCCAUGUGGCUGGGGCGGAACCAAUAGGCCUAACUAGGCUGGACCCGGCCCAAAAGAAGACCGGGCUGAAAUCAGCCUAAAAUAAAAUGGGCCUACCUUCUAUAGGGUUGGACUCAGCCCAGCCGUAGGGCUGGGCUUAUGUUCCAGCCCGAAACAAAUGUGGAGCACAGUCCAGUUAAUUAAUUAGCACAGUAACCAGCUAAUUAUUUUUCUUGCAAGAAGAUGAACAGUAAGAGGGUUGAGGGGAAGAGUUACCAAGGGUGAUGAGCUUGGACGGAGGAGCUCUUCCUCUUCUCUGCUGUUUUUGACGUUGCUUCUUCUCUUGGUUUCCUUUGUUCCCUCUGUUAACGAUAUUCUUCCUUCUCUGCAGCGGCUUCGUGGAGGUGCUGGUGGUGGCGACCUGGGGAGGGGCUGAGAAGGUGGUUUGGCGAUGUUGUUGCUGCAGUUUUUUUUUCCUUCGUAGAGGCGCAGGUUCCUGUUUUUUCUUCAAUGGUGUUGUAGCGUGUGGGAGGAAGAUGAUGAGCUGAGGAAGGAUGACGAUGGCGUGGGCAGUGCUGUUGUGUUUGUGUUCCUGGUGGCGUUGUUGUCGGGGUAUCCGGCUGUGGUCGCUCUUCCUCCUCUCUUCUGUCGUUACUUCUCUCUGUUUAUGUCACCUUGUUUCUCUGCUUCUUCUUCGCUAGCUCUAAAAGGAAGGCAGGCGGUUGUAGUGUGGUUUCAAACGGUGGAGAGAGAGAGAGAGCAGAGAGAGAGGUUACCGUUCUUCUCUUCCCCUCUAUUUUCCUUCUUUCUCUUCUGCCAUGUUUCUCACCUCUCUAUCGUCUUUCGUUAAAAAAAAAACUCUCCCCCUUUCUCUCUUGUUUUUUUUUCCGUCUCUUGUUCAAAAAACAAAAUUGACCCUUCUGUCUCACAAAAAACCUCCCUCCUCUGUUUUGGUUUCUCUCUUCUCUACACUCUCACAGUACCUCUUCUCGUUUCAAACUUCCCUAUCCUUUCAGUUUCCAAAAGCCCUGCCCCUCAUUCUGGUGUUGGGCGCAAUAUUUAUAGAGCAAAGAAAAAGCGUCUUGCUGUCGCGCAUGGGAAGCAGGAGACACCGGGUGAGGUCUCCAACAGGCGUGGCUUUGCAGGGCACGUCUACACUGUUUUCUAGCCAUGGAAUUUUAGGUUUAUGCAGCAGCAUGCAGGGAGAGAGAAGUUUCUCAAAAUGACACUAUUUUUUUUUUUUUGAUAGGGUAUUGAAAAAUGAGUUACAACAAUUGGGAUAUAUGUCAGGAUUCAAUUCUCUUGGGUCCUACAUAGUUUAAGAUUAAUGAAUUUUAGAUUUUUAAAUAUUAUUAUUUAUGUUAUAAAUAUUAUUAUUUUUAUUAUAAUUAAAAAUAUUAAUAUAAAAAUAUUGUUUUUUGUGCUAUAAAUAUUAUUAUUUUUAUUAUAAUUAAUUUUAUUAAUAAAAUAAUUAAUAAAUUUUAAAAAAAAUUAUUAUUAAUAUUGAAAAUCAACCAUAGAUUUGAUUUGAAAUGUAAAAUUGAAAAUUUUUAUUGUUAUCAUUAAUAAAAAAAAAUUAAAAAAAUUAUUAUUACUAUUGAAGAAAACCCAUAAUUUUUCAAAAAGAUUAACAAAUAUAAGAAUUUAGACAGACAAGUUAAAUAUUAUUACUUAUAUUAUAAAUAUUAUUGUUGGGUUUGUCAUUACAGUCAGACUCGACUCCUUUAAUUUUUCUGUUUCAACCAGACCCAAAGCUUUUGAGCCAUAUAUUUUUUUCAUAUUUUUUAUUAAAAUAAAACGUUGGCUGCAAUAUAGUGCAGGCCACCUAACUAAUAAUGGACUCCAAAUAAAUUAAUUCUGCUUCAAGGAAAACAAACAUAUUAAAAUCAUAAAAACAUUUUACUAUAAAAUAUUAUACAGAAUAAACGUAACUUACUCUAAAUUUCCUCAAACAAUCUUGCAUUGCAAGAUUAAAUGGGCAGUAACAACGCCAGGAAAGCUUUCUUGUGGAUUUAAACACAUUUUUCUAUUCCUCUUAAUUAUGGGAGGGGGGAGCUAUCUUCUGCUGUGUAGGAAGAUCUGAUGAAACAAAGGAACAAUUGUUUUCAUUUUACCAAAAACAUAUUUAGUGGAAGACAACCCUGCCAUCACUGGUGAAGAGCAAGGUCGCAUUACUGGGGACUGGGGCGUCAUCCCUUCUAGCAGCCCACACAACAGUCUUUAGUGAAAUCCCGGAUAGAAAAACCCCAAUAGAAUAGCCGUCGCGUUGUCGGAAAAAUCCGAAAGCAUGAAGACCAGAAGGUGACAACCAUAAGGAGUUUGGGUUAGGUGUUAGAGAAGAUCCGAGGGUUAUAUUGGUCUGUCUUUGAGCUGAAGCUGUAAAAGAUAAGGCGAGAAGAAGAAAAAAGAUGAUAGAAGCCAUGGAUAGGGAUUUAGCUCUUGUGUGGUAUGUGAGUGUCAAAAUAAGGAUGUCUAUUGUUCCAGCACUCCAUUAUCUUUCUGUGGUUUCCAGCAGUCAAGCCAGGCACUCAAAACAUAAAAGUCUAGCCAUAGAAUCCACCGCGUUUCCCUACCAAUUGGUGGAAAUUGUUGCUCUUACUUUUAUGCUUUCAAAGUCAAUGCAGUCAACUCACCGAAAAAACUUGGCAAUUACUUGGCGCUGGUCCCCCUUUUCGAUCUUGGUAUCCCCCAUUUGAUCAGCCAUUUGCUAAUUUCCCCUGGACUGUUCUUGGUUCUAAUUUUCUGCAGCAGAUUCUUUUUUAUUUGUCAAGUACCAUCAAUAUGCUUUUGAUAACACAAUCUUGAGCUUCCUGCAGACAGCUUCAACUACUUGAGAGAUGCCAAUUGUGGUGCUAAUGCUAAUACCCCGCCAUAAUACUAGGGCAAGGCAGAACAAAUGGAUUAUAUUCAUGUCCUUCGAUGCAAAAGGCUAGAUAGCAACGUCACUUUCUAACAAAAGAUCAUGUUAUAAUUAACCCUUAUGGACAACUUAAUUAGUUUAUGGACAACUUAAUUAGUCCUUUCUUGAGUUUUUUUUUCAAUAAUCAUGAGUUUGAGUUCUUUCAGAAUCAUUAAAAGUUUACAUGAUCAUUAAAUUAAGAAUAUGUGGGAUUAGUCGAGAUGAGCACAAGUUAAUCCGGACAUCAACGUUAACAAUAAAAAAAAAAAAUCAUGUUAUAAUUUAUAUGUGAAAAGUAGGGAUUUUGAAUUCGGGUAAUCUCAACAAGGUUGUACUUUUCUUUCUCCAGGUCAACUUGGAUCUUCCUCUGUUCUCAUGUUUAGCUUCCUGCAAGAACAUUCCUUCCGAGGCACAUUUUUCCUGAAAUUAUACUAUAUAUGGGAACUUUCAAGUUUUGUUUGAAAUAAAACUUUUAUUUGCUUCCUCACGAUUUCAUUUUAGUCUCGAAUUUAAGAUAUUUUUUCGUAAAUACACUAGUUUGGAUAUGAAUGGCCAGCGUGAAACUUCAUAGAAGAUGGACCGUUGAUUCUAUGGUUUUUUCCACACGUAUUUUGCAGGAACAGCAAGUGGACGUAUGAGUAAAGUAAUGUAUCUCUUGUCCUUGGCUGUAACCGGUCUUUCUUUAUCUUGUAAUAACAAGGUGAGUUCGAUUGAGGGUUCCGCUGUAUGACUAUAUUCAGAGUAUAAUUAAGGUGGUCACAACAGGGACUGAGUCAAUGUACAACCGAGCAUUUGCUGGCAGGCUCUUCUCAGCAAAAAUGUCUUCUCUUACUAGCUUCAAAGCCAGUGGUGUAUCCUCAAUACAAGUUGUUGCAACUCUGAAGAACAUAUUGCUAGUAUUUGUUGAGACUUGAGAAUAACAUUACCCAUCUAGAAACCUGGCCAAAAUAUAGGUUUCAGUUUUCCAGCCAUAAUCCCGACACAUGAGAUAAGGUGGGAAACAACUUUACAGGCAUUAACAUUAGAAGAAAAAUCAACAGGAAGCUAUGCUGCGUAAACAUAAAGGAACUCAGUACGAAAUAGCAAUUUUAUAAAGAAAAGGAAUACAUGACCUGAAAAAUAAAAUACCACACCCUGCAGAUGAAUCUCUUAUUCCGAACCACAAAACGCAGCUCAUAUAGCAGUAAAAAAAGAAGUAGGACUUGGAGGGAUUGGGAUUUCGACUGUCCCCUCCAACAUGAGGAGUACCUUUUUCAUUGAAGGGCGGAGGGAUAGCUCAUCAAGAGUGCACCAAAGUCCCACUUUAACCAUCCUAUCUAACUGUUUCUUUUCGACGAUUUCAUCACCCACAAGUUUGUCCAUAUCACCGUCCAGAAAACAUUGGUAAACCCACUGUUCGAGAACAGCUUCAUCCUCUGGAAGACUCCAAUCCACAUUCUUUCGACAACAUGUGAUCUCCAACAACAUAACUCCAAAGCUAUAAACAUCUGCUUUAACUGUCACCGGCAUAUUCCGGUGCCAUUCUGGUGCUACAUAUCCCCUCGUCCCUCUGAUUCCCGUGAAGGUAUUAGUUUGGUCUGACUUCAGAAUUUUUGCCAAUCCAAAGUCAGAAACUUUGGGGCACCUGCUUUCAUCUAUUAGUAUAUUCUGAGGUUUUAUAUCACAGUGGAUGAUCUGAGUCUCGCACUCUUCAUGUAGAUAAACAAUACCCCUUGCAAUGUUGCGAGCAAUUUCCAACCUUUCAUGGAAGCAAGGUCGUUUUUCAAGUGAGAAGAGUAUGUCAGCGAGGGAGCCAUUGCUCAUGUACUCGUAUACCAGGAGCCUGUGAUGUUCAUCAUGGCAAUAGCCGAGCAGACGGGCUAGGUUUCUGUGAUGUGUUUUCCCAAUGACUUUCAUCUCAUUCUGAAAUUCUCUUUCCCCUUCAGCUAGAACUUUCUCCAGUCUCUUGACAGCAACAACCUUCUGAGUACUUGAUAUGAUCCCUUUAUAAACUGUCCCAAAUGAUCCCCUGCCAAUUUCUUCCUUGAAACCACCAGUAAUAUUUUCUAGCUCUGCAUAAGUGAAAGCUCGAGGAGCAAAUAACCAAGUAAUACAAUAAAUAUAGCAUAAUAGUUUAAGGAAGAUUGCAAGUAGAUCUAACGACAACAUUAAUAGUUGCAUAUGUGUGUGUGUGAAGAUUCAAAAAAACCUAAUUUAGAAAAUACAAAAAAAAAAACCAAGUAAUGAUAGAAAAAUAGAAAGAAAAGUAUUAAAUUCUGUUUAGAUUGUUCACCUAACAAUUUAAAUUUAUUUAAAUUCUAUAUAGAUAUUGUAUUGCGAUUGGUCACGUACCGGUUUGGAUCCAUUUAGAUUUUGAUUUGGUUACCUAACAAUUAAAAUCCAUUUCAAUUUUCAUGUAUUAUCUUUUUAUAUAUAUAUAUAUAAAUUUAUUGUACAAAUAUAAUGGAAAAUGAAUUAUAACUGUUGUAAUCCAUUUUUUAUCUCUAAUUUUUCACAUGUAUUUUCAAAAAUAGAACAAAUCUUCCAAAAUAUAUUUUCAAUGAAAUUCAAUUAUUAUUUAUUUAUUAUUAUUUUUGUGUGCGUGACAAUAUAGAAAAAUAAAAAUAAAAUAAAAUUAAGGAAAUGAAAUGAAAGGCAAGAAAAACUUCAGACCGGUAUGAUUGAUGACUAAAUAAUAUAUGGAAAAUCAAGAUGAGAUUGGAAAAUUUUUGCAAAAAAUCAAUAAGAAGAUGAAAUAAAAUUUUAUAAUAGUAGUUUUCCUGUUUUGAGAGUAUCCCACAAACAACAUAUAUAAACAUGAGAGAACACUACACACACAAGUACACAGAGAUAGAGAGAUUAAAAAAGACAAGUAUACUUUUGGGCUCGUUCUUGGAGCUUACAAGCAAGUUCCAUAUAGGAAAAACCUUGGUCAACAAGAAGAAAAAAUGGCAAAAAUUAGAUUGCUCUCUGCAAGCGUAAUUCAAGCCACUGCUAACAAGGUGACAAAUGAGAGGGCUGAGUUGACUCAAUGUGAUCUAAAGCUUCUUCCGCUAGGUGCUUCUCUUCCUCAAACCCAAAUCAUCAGAAGAUCAAGACUUGUUCAUCCAACAGUUGAAAACGUCACUUUCUCGGACUCUAGAUUUCUUCACCCCUCCCGUGUUGGAAGUUAAAACCGGUGUGGUAUGGGAUCAACACAGUAAUACAAGAUAAAAAAAACUCAAGAACAAAGCUAAACAACAAGAAAAAGAAGGAGAGGAAGCUUGUUAGCCACUGUAGAACAUGAUGAUAACACAGUCUCCAAUUUCAUUGACUGCAAAAAUGCAGGAGCCCAGUUUGUUCAUGGCGCCAUGGCCGAUGGGGUAACCAUGGCUGACAUCCUCCGGCCAGUUUAUGUUCCUCCAAUUGUCCACUCUUUCUUUCCAUUGAAAGGGGUCCUAAACCACGGGGCUACUGAUGUCUCCAAGCCAUUGCAUGCCUGCAGUUCAAGUCACUGAACUUGUUGGUGGCAUCUUUAAUGGCUGUACCAUGAACCAUAUAGUUGUUGAUGGCACAUCGUUUUGAAAUUUCUUCAACUCUUGGUCUGAAAUCCAUCGUGGGUUGGAUCACAUCUCCAAGCCUCCUGUUCUUGAACGUUGGUCACCUCCCAAUCGUAGCUGCAGCUGCCUGAUCCAAAAGCAAUAAGCCGUUGCCUGCAUGCUUGUACCUUUUUUUUCUCCAAAAAAAUGGGUGUAUAAGGGGUAGUUUUUCCAGGCGUAAGACACGUCAUCCAUUAGUGUAUUUCCCGGUUAUUUUCAGUCCUAUAAAUGCAAGGUUUGAUUUACUAUAUCCCUAAAGCUUGAUUUUUAAGUAAUAUUCACCUGAAAACAUCCAAACAAAACUCAAUAAAUCUUUUUUGAAUCCAAAAUUAUCCUCUAAUCAUUCUAAAAAUUAAAAAUCAAACCAAAUGAAAAAAACAUUACAAGCCUUAAAGGGUGUUUGAGAGUGUGGUAGCGGUUGCUUUUCAAAUAGCUUUUCGUGCCGAAAAGCAUGCCAAUAAUAUUUUUUUAUUUUUUAAAAAUCAUUUUUGACAUUAGCACAUCAAAACGAUCCAAAAAAUACAAACCGCACUCAAUUUUAGCAAAAAAUAAAAAUAAAUUUUUUUUGAAUUUUUUCAAAAAGCCGAUUUGGCCGCAAUGCCAAACAGGCAAUUAAUCAAUCUAUCUGUCUAUAUAUAUAUAAAACUGAAAUAUAUAUAAAAAUUGAAAAUUGAAGAUUGCACUAUAUAUAACUAAAGAGUGCAAUUUACAUUGAAGAGGGAAAGUUCUUGCUUUUUUUUUUUUAAUUAUUAUUAUUAAUGUUGAUGUUCGGAUUAGCUUACUCGUACCUCAAUUAAUUUAAAAUGUUCUAAAAUUAACGACCAUGUAAACUCUUCUAGUGAUUCUAAGAUUUAUAAAAUUCAAACCGAUGAUUUUUAAAAAACAAGUCUAGAGUCUAAUUAAUUAAACUAUACCUUUUAAAAUUAAGUUAUUAUUCUUUUAUUCAUAUUGAUUAUUGACAUUUAGCGAAGAUUUGUUUUUUAAAAAUUCAUGUUUGCAUGACUCUCUAAAAGACCCUACACAAGUUCGAUUUUUCUUUUCUUUCAAUUAGAUUUUUUUUUUCUGUUUUCACUUUAAUUAAAUAGAGUCAGGUUGAGCAUCAUAUAUAUUGCACGAUACUCAUCUUAAUGAAAAUAGGAUGAGACUUGGCUAUUAUUUUUUCUAUUAACAAGCUUUAAUAACGUAAUUAUAAUGUAUGUGAAUGAUUGAAUUAUAUUUAAUCGAAUUGUCUAAAUGCAAUGAAUAUAGCAUUAAACUGACUAAAUUCUUUUCAUAAGGGUUUAUUUACUUAUUUAACAAUAAUUUUUAAACUUAAUCCCACAAUUAAUUUGAAUAAGUUUUAGAUCACGAGUCUAUUUAUUUUUUAUUUUAUAAAUGAUAAAAAUAAUAUUAUUUAAAAAAAUAAUAAGUUUUAAUUAAGCUUUUUUUAGAUUGACCAGAUUAUUGGUCAAACCAAGUUUUUUAUCUAGUCAUAUUGAGCUAAGUCUUCUUUUAUUUUUAUUGAAAUUGACUUAAUUAGAUAUCAAAUCACAACUCAACCCUUUAGUCUGUUGAAGUUUUAAAUUAAUGGAUUUAACACAAAUACAAGGUUUGAAUGGGGCUUCUCCAAGGAAAACUCGAAUAAGAGAGCUAUGUUUAGAUGGUGUUUGUGUGUGAGUUUUAAUUAAUUAAUUUUAUUAAAAUUUGAAUUUUUUUAAUUAUUAUUUUAGUAUUUUUUGAUUGUUUUAAUAUGGUGAUAUUAAAAAUAAAUUUUAAAAAAGAAAAAAAUAUAUAUUUUUAAUAUUUUUCAAAUACAAAAUAUUUAAAAAAAAUUAUUGAUAGACUGUUAAAUACUCUUUCAAAUAAAAAAUAUUUUUAAAAAAUAUAUUAAAAGCCCCCUUUAAGCUUACCAAAACCUCAGAGCAAAAAACAAGAAAGGAAAAGAGUAAAACAAAAUGGCUCCAGCCAAGAAAGGAAAACCGAAGGCAAACUCGGCCGUGUCAACUCAGUCAAAACCCACAGCCCCAAGUCCCCAAAACAAUUUCCCAUCUUGCAUACGUGCAGUCCCUCCUUCCUCCGUCGCCAUCACCAUCCACGCCAAACCCGGUUCCAAAUCCGCCUCCAUCACUGGUGGGUCUAUACACACGUGCAAAAGGACUGUUUUGAUUCUUGUUUAGGUUAAAAAAUUAAAGCUUCAAUGUGUUUUUUUCUUCCUGAUAUUGUAUGUAGAUUUGAGUGAUGAAGCGGUGGGAGUACAAAUAGAUGCACCUGCUAAAGAUGGUGAAGCUAAUGCUGCACUUCUUGAUUACAUUAGCUCUGUAAGUCUUUUUUUUUUCCCUUACGUUAUAAGUUGGUUAUUCGUUUUUAAUGUUUUGUGAUAGAGAAUUAUUGGCUUAAUUUUCGAGAAUUUUACAGGCAUGUGUGAUGUUAAUCAAUGCCUGUCAAAUUUUUUGAUGUUUCGGUACUACGCAUAUGGAGAGAAAUAUUUUGAGUUGGUACAGUUUUGGCUGAAUUUUCUAGAGGAAAGGAGAUUUGUAGCAUGAGGUCGGGAGACGAAAGUGGCUUUUUUUUUUUUUGGAGAGAAACGGUAGAACGGAUUCUUACGGUUCAUCAAAUUUUACAGGCAUGUGUGAUGUUAAUCAUUGCCUGUCAAUUUUUUUGAUGUUUUGGUACUACGCAUAUGGAGAGAAAUAUUUUGAGUUGGUACAGUUUUGGCUGAAUUUUCUAGAGGAAAGGAGACUUGUAGUAUGAGGGCGGGGGAUGAAAGUGGCCUUUUUUAUAUUUUUUUGGAGAGAAAUGGUAGAACAGAUUCUUACAGUUCAUGAAUUAAUUAGAGAGGGUUUUAUUUUGUCUUUGGGCUUGCAUGCAAAAGGAAUGGUGAAUCUAUAGUCCUUAUAUUUAGCCUAUCAGUAUUUUGAUGAUGGAUUUGCUGGAUUCUAGACAUGCGCAAUGAGUUAGAAAACAGCAUCAAUGUGCUUAAUGUAGAGUAUUUGGAAGCAGUCAAAUAUUGAUGCUUUUUUUGGGAUCAUGGCUCGUGUCCUUGAGAUUAUUUUGAAAGAGGGUUAUGCUGGCACUUUGUUAACUUCUAUUGGGAGUUUUUAUUAUGAUAGUGUAUCUGGCAUUUUCCUAUUUCAUCAAGUUGGUGUAAGUAUUUGAUGCAAGUUGAGGAUUGAGUUAAUUUUGAACGCAUAUGGUAAUAAUAAUUUUUUUACUGACCUUUUGAAACCAUGAAUUGCUAGGAAGAGUUUGAAAUUGAAAGAGGAUGAAAGAGUAAAUGCAUUAAGAGAGAGGAUGCGAUUUCAUGAGUGAUAUAAUCAACUGGGAUCCCUGGCUUAGCCCAAUAGUAGAUGAAAAGCUUCUCUCUUCCAUAGGAUAAGUGUGAUUUAGAGCAUUUAAUCUUCUGAAAAAAUAAUAAUGAGGUGUUUACUGUUCAAUCACAACUGUAAACAUGGUUGAAUAACUGAAGAGAGUUAUUUAUGAAAAUUAACAAAUUCUUGUCGUGAUAUCUUGCAUUUAGAUAGAGAACCUCCUCUGUUUUAGUACAGAAAAGGUUCACAAGUAUGGUUCUCUCAACCAACAGGUGUUGGGGGUGAAGCGGAGGCAGGUAUCCAUAGGCUCUGGUUCUAAAUCGAGAGACAAGGUGGUGAUUGUGGAGGAGGUAACUCUACAAAAUGUUUUUGAUGCUUUGGAGAAAGUGUCCAAAUGCUGCUAAUUUAAAAAGAAGAAGAGAGGUUCAGUGUGCUUUCGUUAACAAGAGAUAUGAUUUACAUGAUCUUAUACUGAACACAAGGUAUUUGGAUAGGACAACAUUCCUAGUCCACGCUGAUGUUUAAAAUAGUUUGGUCUGUAGUUUUGUUUCUUCUAUCUCACACUGAAACAAUAAUCUUUUUAUUUAAAACUGUAAGUACAGAAGCUGUAGUGUUACUUAUGAAUAUAAUGACUGAUGUUCCAUGAAUAUUCAAGUUAGAUGCUAAUUUAUUCAUCUUCACCAUGGUUCUUCUAGUUCUCAUUUUUCUUUAUGAUUUCUUCCCCCUUUUUUCUUAUGAAUUUCACUAAGAGAUCAUUAUAGCUAUACUUUUGCACGACAGGCUUGCUAAUACCUAGCGACAUGCUGUGAAAACCAUCUUAUUUUGUCCUCCAGCUUUUGAUUCUUCUGGCUGUUUUGCCAUUAAUAAUGCUAGAUUUAAGGUUUAGGUCCGCUGUUGUUAUUACCUGAUUUUUGUGUAAUUCGCCUAUAAAUGAAAUUACUCUCUAGUGAUAAAAGGAAUGGAGUGCAGAUAUUGUGUCAUGAACAAAAGGCUAGUAUUUGUUUAUUGCAGGAGCAAGAGAAGUCUCGGCUCAUACUUGGCCAGGAAAACAUUUAUCUUUUUCACACUGUAUAAGCAUUUUGUCAUGAGGGUAAUCUUAUUGAUUAAGAAUCAUCUAUCAGAAGUGGAGUAUCCUCAAUACAAGUUGUUGCAACUCUGAAGAACAUAUUGCUAGUAUUUGUUGAGACUUGAGAAUAGCAUUACCCAUCUAGAAACCUGGCCAAAAUUAUAGGCUUCAGUUUUCCAGCCAUAAUCCCGACACAUGAGAUAAGGUGGGUAACAACUUUACAGGCAUUAACAUUAGAGGAAAAAUCAACAGGAAGCUCCCAAAUGCUGCGUAAACAUAAAGGAACUCAGUACGAAAUAGCAAUUUUAUAAAGAAAAGGAAUACAUGACCUGAAAAAUAAAAUACCACACUCUGCAGAUGAAUCUCUUAUUCCGAACCACAAAACGCAGCUCAUAUAGCAGUAAAAAAAGAAGUAGGACUUGGAGGGAUUGGGAUUUCGACUGUCCCCUCCAACAUGAGGAGGACCUUUUUCAUUGAAGGGCGGAGGGAUGGCUCAUCAAGAGUGCACCAAAGUCCCACUUUAACCAUCCUAUCUAACUGUUUCUUUUCGACGAUUUCAUCACCCACAAGUUUGUCCAUAUCACCGUCCUGAAAACAUUGGUAAACCCAUUGUUCGAGAACAGCUUCAUCCUCUGGAAGACUCGAAUCGACAUUCUUUCGACAACAUGUGAUCUCCAACAACAUAACUCCAAAGCUGUAAACAUCUGCUUUAACUGUCACCGGCAUAUUCCGGUGCCAUUCUGGUGCUACAUAUCCCCUAGUCCCUCUUAUUCCGGUGAAGGUUUUAGUUUGGUCUGACUUCAGCAACUUUGCCAAUCCAAAGUCAGAAACUUUGGGGCACCUGCUUUCAUCUAUUAGUAUAUUCUGAGGUUUUAUAUCACAGUGGAUGAUCUGAGUGUCGCACUCUUCAUGUAGAUAAACAAUACCCCUUGCAAUGUUGCGAGCAAUUUCCAACCUUUCAGGGAAGCAAGGUCGUUUUUCAAGUGAGAAGAGUAUGUCAGCGAGGGAGCCAUUGCUCAUGUACUCGUAUACCAGGAGCCUGUGAUGUUCAUCGUGGCAAUAGCCGAGCAGACGGACUAGGUUUCUGUGAUGUGUUUUCCCAAUGACUUUCAUCUCAUUCUGAAAUUCUCUUUCCCCUUCAGCUAGAACUUUCUCCAGUCUCUUUACAGCAACAACCUUCUGAGUACUUGAUAUGAUCCCUUUAUAAACUGUCCCAAAUGAUCCGCUGCCAAUUUCUUCCUUGAAACCACCAGUAAUAUUUUCUAGCUCUGCAUAAGUGAAAGCUCGAGGAGCAAAUACCUCAUUCAAUGCAGUGCCAUCAUUAUUGGGCACCCUUUUAUAUGCCAAUACAUGAUAUCUGUAAACGAUGAUUCCGAAAAUCGACACCAUAGCAAGCCCAAAAACAACAAAUGAACCACUUAUUAUUCGGAUAGUCCUGCCACUGCCAAGGUUCUUCUCGGUUAUAGGCUCUUUUCUGUCCAUGGGUCUACCCACCUUGACGACAGCCAAGUUCGAACUGUCCAAGUUUCUCCUCCCAUAUCUCAAAGGAAACCUUUGCUUUCUGCAGUACUGCCCAUCAGUGAAUAAUGCUGCUUCACAGUUACAGUCUUCCAAACAGGCUUGCUUACAAUUGUCUUUCGUUGUUGAUGACAAAACGGAGUAUGAAACAUCUUCCCAGACAAUAUUAGACAGCUCUUCCAUGGUGUAUGUGCUACUUCCAUUCUUGUCCCUUGCAACUUACAGCAUCGAAAUCCCUCUCACAGCCAGAAGUCCAAUUUCCCUGGGUAACAAACUUAAAUCCAGGAAGACAAAUACAUUCAGCUUCCUGAUCCUUCAUAACACAAUAUCCAUUAAGACCACAUGAUCCUUUCGGGUCGCACUUGUUGCUUGUGGAUGACCACACAUCUGACCAGUUUCCAUUCCGUAUCAGAUUUCGUGAAUAUAAUCUGAAAAUCCCAUCAGCAUCAAGUUUCAUAAUAUUAAUUGUUUCUUUCGUGGGAUAUCCUCCAGCUGUAAUGUUUUUUAUGUUGAAUCCUGUGGAAUUGAGCAGGUAGAGACGGCCAUCCGGAUCAAGAUUUAGGGUCACAUCAUCUCCCUUCCCAUCAGUAAAAGAUGAAAAAUAAGAAUAUGGAGCUGUAUCUGGAGUAUUAACAGGAUACUGCACAAGGUUGCCAUCAUUUUGCAUCUUGAGUCGGUAAAUACCAGUUGAGAGGUCAGUUUCUGAAACAGGAGAAAACAGCUCUGCACCCGCUUUGAGCUGUUGAGUUGGCAAAAGGGUAUCUGUUGGGUGCUCAAAACUCUGCCAUAUAAUCUGGCGAUCAGAAUUAUAUAGCACAAAGUUGCCUGAAUCAGACAUAGAAGCUAAAGAAGCUGGCUGGGAAGCAGAAACUAUCGCAGUCUCACCCCCUUGUGCUGAUGUCAAGACAACCCUGCCAUCACUGGUGAAGUUCAAGGUCGCAUUACUGGGGACUGGGGCAUCAUCCCUUCUAGCAGCCCACACAACAUUCUGUAGUGAAAUCCCGGAUAGAAAAACCCCUAUAGAAUAGCCAUCGCGUUGUCGGAAAAAUCCGAAAGAAUAAAGACCGGAAGGUGACAACCAUGAGGAGUUUGUGAUAGGUGUUAGAGAAGAUCCCAGGGUUAUAUUGGUCUGUCUUUGAGCUGAAGCUGUAAAAGAUAAGGCGAGAAGAAGAAAAAAGAUGAUAGAAGCCAUGGAUAGGGAUUUAGCUCUUGUGUGGUAUGGAGUGUCAAUUUAAGGAUGUCUAUUGUUCCAGCACUCCAGUCUCUUUCUUUGGUUUCCAGCAGUCAAGCCAGGCACUCAAACAUAAAAGUCUAGCCAUAGAAUCCACCGCGUUUCCCUACCAAUUGGUGGAAAUUGUUGCUCUUACUUUUAUGCUUUCAAAGUCAAUGCAGUCAAGUCACCGAAAAAUCUUGGCAAUUACUUGGCUCUGGUCCACUUUUUCCAUCUUUUGUAUCCCCCAUUUGAACAGCCAUUUGCUAAUUUCCCCGUGACUAUUCUUGGUUCUAAUUUUCUGCAGCAGAUUCUUUUUAUUUGCCAAGUACCAUUCAAUACGCUUUGAAGACACGAUCUUUAGCUUCCUGCAGACAGCUUCAACUAGUUAAGAAACAUCGAUUGUGGUGCCAAUGGUAAUACCCUGGCAUUAUACUAGGGCAAGACAGAACAACUUGCUAGCUUAUAGAAAUGUCCCUCAAAUGCUAAAGCCUAGCUAGCAACCUCAGUUUCUAACGAAAGAGCAUCUCUACAUGUUGCGUAACUAACAAUCCCUUGAAUAUUAAAACUGAAAAGUGGAACUCAUUGGACCGUUGAUUUUAUGAUCAAUUCCACCGUACGACUUAAUUCAGAGUACAAUUGAGGUGGUCACGGCAAGGACUGAGUCAAGGGACAACCUAGCAUUUGCUGACCUGCUCUUCUCAGCAAAAGCUUCUUCUCUCACCAGCUUCAUGCCAUGGUUGCUGAUUGGAGGGGCUUUAUAAUUUAUUUAUUACAAAUGUGCUAUGAAAAAGAAAAAAAAUGCUAUGAUAUUAAAAAAAAAAAAAGAAUUUCCUCGUAGCUAUGAUAUUUGUGAUAUUAAUUAUGUUACACUUGUGAUCAUGUUGAUGAGAAUAAUAAUAAAUUCAUAUCGUUUUAGUAAUGUUUAUGUUAGCAAGUAAUGCUACUGAAGGUAAAGAAGCUGUGACGAAGAUGAUGGUGAUGUAAUGGUAAUGACGAUUAAAGUGAUUCAAAAAUAUUUUUCUUUUGAUAAUUUAUUAGUGUAUAUAUUUCAAAUGUUUAAGAUAUUUUUCAAAUAAAUGUACCUUAACUAUGAUAAAUGAUAUAUUCUCCGUUUGUUUGCAAUUUGAUUGUAAAGGCUUCCUUUUAACAUAAUUCUGCUUGAUAUACUCCAUGUAAUUACAAACUAAUUAGCUCAUUUUGGUCUUCUCACUUCUGGCAAUUAGUCAGUUUGAUGGCAACGUGCAACAAUGUACGGUCACCAACUGUUGUAUUGGACUUCGAUUCACCAAUAAUGCCCUGCAACUGAGUUUGAGCGUAGGAAUGGACAUUUGCAUUUUAGGCAAGGAAUUGCCUUGUAGAAUAGAAGAAGAAGAAGAAGAAGAAGGGGAAAAAACAAGCAAAGAUCAUAGUCUCAUUAAUUCUAUUCUUCGUAAAGAGCUCACUCUUGAGAUAACAUAAGAUCAACAAACGUUGUUUGUACUAAGAACACGUGAAGCUUUCAUGCUAACAUUUUCUUUUCUCCUCUUUAUAAAACUUUUUUUUUAAUAUAUAAGAUACGAUGGGAAACAACUUUACAGGCAUUAACAUUAGAAGAAAAAUCAACAGGAAGCUCCCAAAUGCUGCGUAAACAUAUAGCAAUUUUAUAAAGAAAAGGAAUACAUGACCCGAAAAAUAAAAUACAACACUCUGCAGAUGAAUCUCUUAUUCGGAACCACAAAACGCAGCUCAUAUAGCAGUAAAAAAAGAAGUAGGACUUGGAGGGAUUGGGAUUUCGACUGUCCCCUCCAACAUGAGGAGGACCUUUUUCAUUGAAGGGCGGAGGGAUGGCUCAUCAAGAGUGCACCAAAUUCCCACUUUAACCAUCCUAUCUAGCUGUUUCUUUUCGGCGACUUCUUCGCCCACAAGCUUGUCCAUAUCACCGUCCUGAAAACAUUGGUAAACCCACUGUUCGAGAACAGCUUCAUCUUCUGGAAGACUCCAAUCCACAUUCUUUCGACAACAUGUUAUCUCCAACAACAUAACUCCAAAGCUGUAAACAUCUGCUUUAACUGUCACCGGCAUAUUCCGGUGCCAUUCUGGUGCUACAUAUCCCCUCGUCCCUCUGAUUCCGGUGAAGGUUUUAGUUUGGUCUGACUUCAGCAACUUUGCCAAUCCAAAGUCAGAAACUUUGGGGCACCUGCUUUCAUCUAUUAGUAUAUUCUGAGGUUUUAUAUCACAGUGGAUGAUCUGAGUGUCGCACUCUUCAUGUAGAUAAACAAUACCCCUUGCAAUGUUGCGAGCAAUUUCCAACCUUUCAGGGAAGCAAGGUCGUUUUUCAAGUGAGAAGAGUAUGUCAGCGAGGGAGCCAUUGCUCAUGUACUCGUAUACCAGGAGCCUGUGAUGUUCAUCAUGGCAAUAGCCGAGCAGACGGACUAGGUUUCUGUGAUGUGUUUUCCCAAUGACUUUCAUCUCAUUCUGAAAUUCUCUUUCCCCUUCAGCUAGAACUUUCUCCAGUCUCUUUACAGCAACAACCUUCCGAGUACUUGAUAUUAUCCCUUUAUAAACUGUCCCAAAUGAUCCCCUGCCAAUUUCUUCCUUGAAACCACCAGUAAUAUUUUCUAGCUCUGCAUAAGUGAAAGCUCGAGGAGCAAAUUCCUCAUUCAUUCCCGUACUAUCAUUACUGGGCACCUG